UGCAGGGAAGAGAAUCUGAUUGAAUGGUGUAGGGUCCAUGAUACUGAUUUUAGGAAUGUGGGUCUGAAUAUAAUAGUGCAGUAUGAGAAGCACUUUGUAAUGUGAGGUCAUUUCUUAGGACUUUGGGAUGAUUGCAUUGACAAUUAUCAUGUGUUUAGUGCCAUCUAGUUAGUAACAAUGGCUAGAAAAAUAAUUCAGAAUACCCUUAUUGGCACGUGGCUACCUUUUAUUCUUCUAUUGUAUAUAUUAUAACUCAUUGGCUUUCUAUAAUUCCCUUUUACAUUACUUAAUUUUGUUUUUUAGAGCCAUAAUGAGAUGUUGAACCUUAUUGGUUAAGAGCUUAAAACUGUUACUUGACAAAAUGUAUGAUAUGAGAAGUUGUUUUCUUCCCUGUUACUUGACAAAACUCACUCCCUUUAUUCCCCAUGUUAUACUCCUUCAACCACUCAUUCCCUUCGUGAAUUUCUUUGGCAACAAAUGCAAUAAAAACUGAAUUUUCUUACAAUAGUAGCACUAAAACGAAGUUCAAUUUAUUAUUGAUUAAGAUGAAAAUCACAAUGGCAGAUAUGUUUGUAAUUGUUGGUUAAGAACCAGACAAAAAAAGGUUUAGAGACAACUAAAUAUAUUGUUUUUUCAAUUUUUUGUUGUUGUUUUGAAACCUUAUAUUUUUUAUAUUUUUUAAAUAGGUCGGACAAAAUUGGGUGUUCACAAUUGGAUUUCCAAAGAGCAUAAUCGGCGUUUCAUAAAGUGGCUAAAAAAUAACAUUGUUGAGAAGUUGAAUAUAAAUGCACAUUUGGUUUCUGAAACAUUGGAAUUGUUAGCCAAUGGUGCAAAUAUUCAUGUCUUAUCCUACUCUGGUUACCUAAUUAAUAAGUUCACAUUUUAUACAAAAAACAAGAUAUCAAGUAAAAUGCAAAAUAGUGGUGUGACUCUUGUUGCUCCAACUUUACAUAUGUUAAGUGCAAAAGAUAGAAACUCAAUAUAUGUGAAUAUGUUAUACUUCAGGUUCAUUGAACGAAUAUGGGAAUUGAAUUACACAUUGUUUUGGUUGCCGAUUUUUGUUAUGUGUGGGUUGAUAAUAAUAAUGGCUUUCGAGUGGAUGAGUUAGGGUUCAUGCAAGUGGAUCUUAAUAGACCAUGAUAUAUAGAUGAGCCAUUUAUUCUAGCAUCACAAGCUCAACAUGUAUUCUAUGUUAGUGACCUAACUGAUAUGAAAUGGUCAAUUAUUCUUUUGACUAACAAAAUAGUCGUCAAUAAUACUGAUGACCAAGAAUGUGAAGAUAUGGAUGCCGAAGAUGAUCAUUUUUGGGACAUCACAAUCGCAUGAGAGUGGACCAACUACGGAUGAUGAUUUAUAUACAAGAGAUGAUCAUGAUAAGGGGCUUUGAGUGAAUUAAUAUAUUCCUCCAAAUAAUGUUAUUACAAGCAAAAAACAAUCAAAGAAAAGGAAAAAGCAGAUGCAUGUCUAUGUAUAAUUAUAGCAUAAUUUUGUUUUUGUAAUUUUCAUAUAGUGUACUUAUAUUAUUUGUUUAUAAUCUUAUGUACUAUGCCAAAACAUAUUUGGCAUGAUAUUCUUUGUUUGUAAUUUGUAUUGUAUUAAUGUUAAUAAAAAAACUUCUGGUAUUAAUAUGUCUGUGGUAUUGAGAAUAUAUAUGUAUGUGCUGUGGAUAAUGUGUGUGUUGUUGAUAAAUGUAUACGCAGGUAAUAAUGUGUUCAAAUAAAUAACACAUCCUAGGGGAAGCUCUGGCAAGCAUUGUUAUAUGUAUAAAUACAAUAGUGCUCAUUGUAGACAACGUUAUUGUCUCCAUACAAUAUAAUGACGCUCAUUGUAGAUGAUGUUGUUGAUGUAUAAAAUACAACAAUGCUCAUUAUAGACAAUAUUGUUGUAUAUGAUUAAUACAACAACGCUCAUUGUAAGUAACGUUAUGGUAUGAAUGUGUUGUUGAGACUAUUUAUGAAUAAUACAACAACACUCCAUGUAGAAUGCAGUGUUAUAUGUAUAAAAUAUAUUACAACGCUCUUUGGAGGGGGCACUUUUGUAUGUAUGAUAUACAAAAGUGCCCGCAUAAGCGCUGUUAAUCAUGUCUAUAUACUACUGCGCUCACAAGAAAGCACCUAAAAGCACUAUUAUAUAUCUAAAAUGCGUGUUGUUUGUGAACACUCAAUUUUGUCCGGCCUAGUUUCAUAGCCCCCUCGUAUCGAUUGACUAUUUCCUUGAUCAAUAAACACUCAAUUUGUUAAAGAUUUUUCUUUUUUUAUGCUCAUUAGACCAAUCAUAACCUUGUGAUGUUUAAAGUGAAAACACAUUACUCUUGACUGAUUUAAUUAAGAUUAGAUUAGGGAAUGUAUUUUGAUCACAAGGUUGUUAUUAUCAAAACGUGAGUACUCAUAUUUUUAUAUGAAUGACAAUCUAUGCUAGUGUGGCAAGAAAAUAGUGGAUUACUGGCAUAUUCAAGAAAGAAAGACAAAUUAUCAUAUGUCUUAAAAGUGCUUAGAGCUCCCAAUUCAUCACGUGUAUGGAUGUAUCAUCUCUCACCUCAAAACAUACUUCAAAAGACCAAUACUCCCAAAAGAGAAAGAAAAAAAGACACUAUACUAUUCACACAAACCAUUCCGAAAGCACCCUCUCUAUAACAGAGUUCCUCAUCAUUCAUCCCCAACUAAUUUUGACUAUGUAGCUAAAGUUUUUCUUCAUUAUCAAUAUCCUAAUUUCGUCAUGUUGAAUACUCUCUCAUUCAUUGCAACCAUACCCAUCUUCUCCUUCUUCCCUCGUGGCUUUUGAAACCCUCAAAUCCAGUUAUUAUUUCACUGUCAAAGACAUCAAGGGGAAUGAUGUGAAUAUGAGACAAUACAAUGGAGAGGUUCAGCUGAUCAUUAAUAUUGCCACAAAAUGUAAUUUGACAGAAACAAACUACAAACUACAAGGAAUUGAGUACACUGUGCAAGAGUUACAAAAGUCAAGAGUUUGAAAUCUUGGCAUUUCACUGCAACCGGUUUGAUAGUCAGGAACCCGAAGCCAAUGAAGAAAUCAAUUAUAUGUACAAGGUGCAAAGCUGAAGUUUCCCAUCUUUGAUGAGGUUGAGGUCAAUGAAAAUGCAACACCAAUUUAUCAGCUCUUGAAGAAUCAGAAAGGAAGAACAAUUGGGGAUGGCAUCAAGUGGAACUUCACAAAGUUCUUUGUAAGCAAGGAAGGAAAAGUUGUCAAGAAAUUUGCUCCAACAACCUCACCUCUAAAAAAUAGAGAAAGAUCUUCUGAAGCUCUUAUAAUCUUCUUGAAUGUCAAUAUUUUGAUCCUAUGGGGUAUGCUAUACUCUCAAAGGACAAACGAUGCUCACAGUCUGGAAGGUUAUGAUAACCUGCAUAAAGAUUCGCUAAUUAUUGACUGAAAUGAUAUAUGGUAUCCGUUGCAAAUUAAAAGGGACUGUUGACAAAUUAGAAAUUAAUAAGGAAUGACAAAAGGCAGGAGUGUUGCAAACAAACCAAUCAUGUGAUGAAUUCCAAGAGGGAAAGCACUCCUCCAAAAGUUACAUGAUUCUAAAUAAACCCAAAACAACCAGCUAUAAAAACACCACUAUAGAGGCAUCAGAGAGAGGACAAGGGGAAGAACGAAAACAGAGAAUUUAGUGAGGAUAUCACGCACAUACAUUCCGCAAAAAGAGACAUACAACAUAAGCAGAGAUACACACUCGAGGACGCAGAGAGCAUCCCAACAGUGAAAAAACAGAGGGCAUUCAAAAACAUACACACAGACAAGUACCAGAGAACAGUCCAUACACAUUUUACUUAGCAUUACAUAUAGCACAGAGAAUCCAGAAACGAGAACAGAACCGCAGUCUAGAAUACACUUACAGAUCCAGCCAAUAACAUACAACGUCCAUGUCACAAAAAAGAGGGCAACUUGUAAAAUCUCAUAUCACACCAGAGGACAAUUCCAGAAACAUAUCUCACAUACACAAGAAAUAGAUAGGCUGCUGGUCAAGAACACAGAGAUAAAAGUAAUCACAGCAAGGUUAUACACAGGAGCAUUGUCAGGUAAGAAGCGUUUUUUGUUUAGUGACCAAUCUGUGCUUUGAACUUAGACGAUAAAUUUAUAAACAAUUUUACUUAGCCAUACAUAAUUACAUACAUCCAUUCCCAUUUGAUUGAUUCCACAGAGAUACAUAUACUGUCAUUUAACCAAGAACGAAAGUAAAUAAUGCUCUAUAACUACUUUAAAGCAAUGAAAUUUGUUUCUGGAUGAACAUUCAUACCAAUUAGUUUUGUUUCUCAUCAUAUUGAUAAUUACUUCAUACUAAGACAAAUAAGUAAAGUUAGAAGAGGGAUAGGGUUCUUUACCAAAAUCAUUUGCCGAUAACCAACCGUGGAGUCAUGGUUAUACUGCUUUCAUGGCGGAAUUAACGCCAUCAUACGCCAACCUUGUCGGUGUCCCCCCUAUGCUUUAAGGGUUCUCUGUGAGAAUGAAAAGUUGUGAGAAAUAAAUAGGACAGAGAAAAGAGCACGGGUUCAUAGUUAAAGGGAAGUAAAACGGAGAUAGAUGAUCACUAAUUCUUCAAUCCAUCGUGAUAAUCUGUGUUCCUAACCGUGACCCCAACUUCAUCAUCAUGAACCGCCAUCUAGUCACCACCGUGAAUGCAUCUCCAUUGUCGUGAAAGAGAGAGAGAAGAUAGAAGAGAUGAGAGGGAACCGUANNNNNNNNNNNNNNNNNNNNNNNNNNNNNNNNNNNNNNNNNNNNNNNNNNNNNNNNNNNNNNNNNNNNNNNNNNNNNNNNNNNNNNNNNNNNNNNNNNNNUAACUUCUCUGAAAAUGAGAAGAAGGUCUACAACCAACACCGUCUCUAAACUAUUAAUUCUAUAUAAAUAAUUAAAAACUAUUUUACCGAACAAGUUUUAUGAGACUUUUAGUGAGGUCACGGUUCGAAUCAUCUCUAACUUCUCUGAAAAUGGGAAGAAGGUCUACGACCAAUACCGUCUCUAAAACUAUUAGUCUCAUUGAAUCUUACAUAUUUUGAACAAAAUUCAAAUUAACCAAUUCAAUAAACUAAUACUUCUAAAACCUAAUGGUAUUUUCCCAAAUCACUAACAAUCAAUCAAAGUAGAAACAAUUUUUUGAAAUAGAACUACGUAAGCCUUGAUCCCCUUAAUAGGGGUACGUAGGACCAAAGUCAAUAUUGUCAGGCUCAAUAAUAAAAAAUAAAAAAUAUUAUGUUUUACUAAUUUAAUUUUUAAAUGAAUAAUUGUUAAGGGUAUAAAAGUCCAUGUUAUUAGCGAGGGUACCGUUUUAACACGGGCGGACGGGGUGCUAAUACCUUCCCCUAUCCGUAAUUGACUCCCGAGCUUAGAAUCUUUGUUUAAAGACCAUAUUAUCCUAAUUGGGCUCAUUAGAGUUUUCUACGUUUUAACUGCAAAAAACGUAGUGGCGACUCCAAAUCAAUCGGGAGAGGUAGAAAUCGAGUUCGCCUCCCCCCAAGUCGUAGGGCCAGUCUUCCAACCGAAAAUCGGGUCGCAACAGCUGGCGACUCCACUGGGGAAAUACUAUAAGAGAUUCAGGCCUGGAACCGCUAAUAACAUGGACUUGAAUACCCUUUUGUUUUUUGUUUGUUUGUUUCUAUUUUGUGUUCUUUCUUUAGAACGUUGAAUGAUUAUAUAAAACUAUCUUGUUUCAUUGUUUGCAAGUUCAUGUGAUUAUUUUUUUGCAGCUUAUUGGGGGUGGGAAUUUUUUUUAAGGUUUGUAUGCUUCNNNNNNNNNNNNNNNNNNNNNNNNNNNNNNNNNNNNNNNNNNNNNNNNNNNNNNNNNNNNNNNNNNNNNNNNNNNNNNNNNNNNNNNNNNNNNNNNNNNNGGACCACCCAGAUCGUUUCCGGUAUCAUGAGUUAGCGGCUUGGAGGGCUCGAUCCUUCUCGUCUCUAGCCCAUUAUAUUUGGUUUCCUUUCUUUCGGAAUUGGAUGCGAUCUGGUGACCUAGAAGUCUAAAGAUCUUACUAAGUCCACUUUAAUGAAGACCUAGUACCUCCACCAUAGGGUUGUGGCCUUUAGACUAUCCAGAACCUUACAAAGUGUACCUUAUUUAGGACACGGGAAGCAGAACCCAAACUUUAUCCUUCACCAUUUAUAAAUUGGGACUUUUGUCCCUAAAAAGUCUUCAUGCUUGAAUGUUUCGAGGAUGUCAUUGCACUUUGACGUCCUUGUGCCAUAAAGAUGGCUAAAUAAUUUCUAUUCCUUACCNNNNNNNNNNNNNNNNNNNNNNNNNNNNNNNNNNNNNNNNNNNNNNNNNNNNNNNNNNNNNNNNNNNNNNNNNNNNNNNNNNNNNNNNNNNNNNNNNNNNUAAAUAAGGUUUAUCUUACCCAAGGGGCAUUCAAAAUGCAUUAACACCACUAUAUCAAGUUCAUACAUGUCAGGGACUCAUACAUUCCUCAAAAUAUUCAUCAUUCAAAUAUUCAUCAAAAAAAAAAUCAUGCAUAUCAAACAUUCAUCUAUCAUUCAUAUAAAAAAGAAUAUACCAUCACACAUUUAUAUUCAUUUACAUACAUUCAUAAUAACAAAUCAUUCAAAUGUUGCAUUUCAUGCACCAGCGUACAUGCACCACAAAAUAUCGAAAAAGAAAAAUAAAUUAGUUCAUGCAUCUUCAUAUGAACUCAAAAAGAAGGAAAAUUAUAACAUGCAUACAUAUUGCAUGAAUCAAAUAUUACAUCCUCAAGACAUUCAUACAUUUCAAUCAUUCAUUUAACUCAUGCAUAAAUCAUUAUCAGAGAUACUCAUGAGUUGAAAAUUGGUUUUAAAGGUGGCAUUAUUGGACUUGACUGAAACGAUCUAAGAAGAAAGAAAAAUCUUACUCUCGAGACUACAGAAGAUAAAUCAGCUACUCAUAUUGAUACACCAUCCCCAAAGAUAUAUUUGCAAAUUUCGUAUCAUAUGGAAACCUCAGUUAGCGAUGGUAACUCCAAUCAUUCCUCUAAGUCCCACAAUGUUAUAAACCCUCAAGAUUGGGAGAAGAUCAAGGCAAUCGAAGAGAGAAUUAAAGUUAUUGAGGAAGCAAGCUCCCACAAUUUGAAGGACAUCACAAGCAUGUGUUUGGUCCCGAAUGUGAUAUUUCCACCAAAGUUCAAGAUGCCUGAAUUUGAGAAAUAUCAAGCAGUUUCUUGUCCUAAGGACCACCUCACCAUGUAUGCUAGGAAAAUGACUCCCUAUAUAGAGGAUGACAAUUUGCUAAUUCAUGUCUUCCAGGAGAGCCUUAGUGGAGCUGCUUUCACUUGGUACAUCCGUCUCGAAUGUUCUCAUAUCAAAUGUUUCACGGAUUUGUGCAACACUUUCCUUAAACAAUACAACUACAAUAUUGACCAAAAUCCUGAUUAGGAUGCUACUCAAGAAGAUGUCCAAGAGAAAUGAUGAGACCUUCAGGGAGUAUGUCCAAAGAUGGGCAGGAUUGGCCGCUCAGGUGAAGCCCAAGUUGUCUGAUGAAGAGAAUGUUUCAAUGUUUAUCAACACCCUACAACCUCCCUUCUUUGAUCUGAUGAUUGGAAAUGUCUAUUCGGAUUUCCGUCAUUUGAUAACUAUAGGCGAGAGAAUUGAGAAUCACUCCGAGAAUGAAAAAAUUGAGAAAAACUCAGCCAACAGGAUAAUCCAAAGCGAUCUUGCAAGUGAUGAUAUGGAAGAGGAAUUCGCAUUCACAAAGACCGUCAGCCAACCUCAAAUGCCUUAUUUUCCACAAGCAUCAUGUUAUGCUUUUACAAAUGGUAAAAAAGGGCAGCCACGAAAGCGAAAAAGGAAGAGUUUGUAUGGUCCGAUCCCGAUGUCAUAUUCCGAGUUAUUGCCGCAACUUCUUCAUAGAUCAUUGUUGACUCCCAUCCCCUCAAAUAUGGUGGAACCUCCAUACCCAAAAGGAUUCAACCCAAAUGCUAAUUGUGAAUAUCAUACUGGGGCAAUUGGUCACUUCACAGAGGAUUGUGAUCAACUAAAAAGCAAAGUGCAAUAUCUAAUUAACACCAGGUUGAUCCGCUUUCAAGGAAACGUCCUAGUUUGAGAAAUGCGCAAAUCACCCCAAGUUGUCGUCUUGGCACUAGAAAAUGAUGUAAUAAAACUCUAUCGCCCUCCCUAAGGCUUUAGAGUCAUAAAUAGUGGGACACUCAUGUCUCUUUUCAUGAAUGAGAAUGUAUUUUCUAAUACACAUUUUUUAACAAUUACAUACUAAUACAUUGAUCAUAAUUUACCAUCUCAUACCUCAUUUACACAUUUUUUAACAAUUACAUACUAAUACAUUGAUCAUAAUUUACCAUCUCAUACCUCAUUUACACAUUUUUUAACAAUUACAUACUAAUACAUUGAUCAUAAUUUACCAUCUCAUACCUCAUACCACAAAUCUCAUUCCAACAACAACAAAAAAUCAAAAAUCAAAUAAAAUUAAUUCAUGCAUUAAUGUGAGAUAUUUGAUUCAAUAACUUUAGUGAAAUGGAGGAUGAUGCAAAUGUAAGACCCAAAAUGGUACAUGUUCUAAGGCAAAUCUUUCUGAUGACACAAGGCAUCUUUGAAAAUCCCCACACACUAUGAAGAUAUCCCUAGAAUAACCUUGGGUAGGGUAGUAUCUCAACUGUUUUCCUUGACAUUCAAUUGUUAAGAAAUAAAUACACUAUACUAUUUCCAAAUCUAACCCGAGGGUUAAAAAAAUCCUAAGCAAUUCAAAUAAAAAAGUUCAUCGGUCAAAGUGCAAAAUAACAUAAAAAACAAAAGGAAAAAUAUANNNNNNNNNNNNNNNNNNNNNNNNNNNNNNNNNNNNNNNNNNNNNNNNNNNNNNNNNNNNNNNNNNNNNNNNNNNNNNNNNNNNNNNNNNNNNNNNNNNNAAGAAAAAGAAAAAGAGCGCUAGGUUGAAAACCCACAAGGGCAACCUAAGAAAAGGAGAGCAAUGCUAAUUCGAAAACCUAAAAAGGCGAGUUAGUAUAAAAAAAGAGAGGAAAUUCCUGACAGGUACCUACACUAGGUAUUCUGGGCAAAAAAUAAGGAAAAGAAAUGAACAUCCUCAAGUAAAAAUUCGCUAUUGCUCAUCUUCAACCAUGUAAACUGGGGCAGUUUUUUGAAGUGAGAGUCAUAACCUUUGUUUAGAAAGAUUCUUAUGAAGUCUAUGACGAAUAUAAUAGGGGAAAUUUAUUGGACAAUCCAACUAUUCCAAUAAAUUCUCAACCUGACGCUGGGGGCAUAUUGGAUGGUGAGGCGCUGGCAGAUAGUCUCUUUCAACCAUGUCCAACAUGGGUCGCAUUUCAGUCGAGUCCAAAAAAAAAAAAUUUUUUUUGAUCAUGACAUCACAAGCAAAGGCAUCUAGCAUGCAUUCAUUAUUCAUACAUGACAUCAUUCAUAUCAUUCUCAUCAUUCUCAGCAUAACAUACAACAUAUUUUCAAACAUUCAUAUCAAUACUCAUCUCGUUUUUUUCAGGACCCCGAGCCUGAUGUGCUUUCAAUCAAUCUUUCCAGGACCCCGAGCCUGAUGUGAAUUUCCGAGUUCCGGCAGCACCGACCUGCAUUCUCGUUUUGAAAAUUAUGCUUUCCAGGACCCCGAGCCUGAUGUGCUUUCAAUCAAUCUUUCUAGGAUCCCGAGCCUGAUGUGAAUUUCCGAGUUCCGACAGCACCGACCUGCUUUCUCGUUUUAAAAUUAUGCUUUCCAAGACCCCGAGCCUGAUGUGCUUUCAAUCAAUCUUUCCAGGACCCCGAGCCUGAUGUGAAUUCCCGAGUUCCAGCAGCACCGACUUGCGUUCUCGUUUUAAAAUUAUGCUUUCCAGGACCCCGAGCCUGAUGUGAAUUUCCGAGUUCCAGCAGCACCGACCUGCGUUCUCGUUUUAAAAUUAUGCUUUCCCGAACCCCGAGCCUGAUGUGAUUUCAAUCAAUCUUUCCAGGACCCCGAGCCUGAUGUGAAUUUCGAGUUCUGGAAGUACCCGACCUGCGUUCUCGCAUUUACUUUCAUUGUCUCGAGUUCCAGCAGUACCCGACCUGCGUUCUCGCAUCUACUUUCAUUGUCUCGAGUUCCGGCAGCACCUGACCUGCGUUCUCGCAUUUACUUUUAUUGUAUCGAGUUCCAGCAGCACCCGAUCUGCGUUCUCACAUUUACUUUUAUUGUCUCGAGUUCCGGCAGCACCCGACCUGCGUUCUCGCAUUUACUUUUAUUGUCUCAAGUUCCGGCCGUACCCGACCUGCGUUCUCGCUUAACCUGUUUAGCUUCUCGAGUUCCGACAAUAGUCGAUCCGUGUCCUUGUUUAUAAGGUCGAAUUAUGACCAUUUGUCUCGGCCUCGACAACAAUAAUGUUCAUUUCUUUACUAGUUACUUACUAUGAUAACACACAACCUCAGUUUGUUUGCUAUAUAGUAAGCAACAAGUAAAGAGGGGCAGCUGUGAACACUCAAUUUUGUCCAGCCUAGUUUCAUAGUCCCCUCGUAUCGAUUGACUCAUAAGAGUUUUCCCUGAUCAAUAAACACUCAAUUUGUUAAAGAUUUUUCUUUUUUUAUGCUCAUUAGACCAAUCAUAACCUUGUGAUGUUUAAAGUGAAAACACAUUACUCUUGACUGAUUUAAUUAAGAUUAGAUUAGGGAAUGUAUUUUGAUCACAAGGUUGUUAUUAUCAAAACGUGAGUACUCAUAUUUUUAUAUGAUUGACAAUCUAUGCUAGUGUGGCAAGAAAAUAAUGGAUUACUGGCAUAUUCAAGAAAGAAAGACAAAUUAUCAUAUGUCUUAAAAGUGCUUAGAGCUCCCAAUUCAUCACGUGUAUGGAUGUAUCAUCUCUCACCUCAAAACAUACUUCAAAAGACCAAUACUCCCAAAAGAGAAAGAAAAAAAGACACUAUACUAUUCACACAAACCAUUCCGAAAGCACCCUCUCUAUAACAGAGUUCCUCAUCAUUCAUCCCUAACUAAUUUUGACUAUGUAGCUAAAGUUUUUCAUCAUUAUCAAUAUCCUAAUUUCGUCAUGUGGAAUACUCUCUCAUUCAUUGCAACCAUACCCAUCUUCUCCUUCUUCCCUCGUGGCUUUUGAAACCCCCAAAUCCAGUUAUUAUUUCACUGUCAAAGACAUCAAGGGGAAUGAUGUGAAUCUGAGCCAAUACAAUGGAGAGGUUCAGCUGAUCAUUAAUAUUGCCUCAAAAUGUAAUUUGACACAAACAAACUACAAACUACAAGGAAUUGAGUACACUGUGCAAGAGUUACAAAAGUCAAGAGUUUGAAAUCUUGGCAUUUCACUGCAACCGGUUUGAUAGUCAGGAACCCGAAGCCAAUGAAGAAAUCAAUUAUAUGUACAAGGUGCAAAGCUGAAGUUUCCCGUCUUUGAUGAAGUUGAGGUCAAUGAAAAUGCAACACCAAUUUAUCAGCUCUUGAAGAAUCAGAAAGGAAGAACAAUUGGGGAUGGCAUCAAGUGGAACUUCACAAAGUUCUUUGUAAGCAAGGAAGGAAAAGUUGUCAAGAAAUUUGCUCCAACAACCUCACCUCUAAAAAAUAGAGAAAGAUCUUCUGAAGCUCUUAUAAUCUUCUUGAAUGUCAAUAUUUUGAUCCUAUGGGGUAUGCUAUACUCUCAAAGGACAAACGAUGCUCACAGUCUGGAAGGUUAUGAUAACCUGCAUAAAGAUUCGCUAAUUAUUGACUGAAAUGAUAUAUGGUAUCCGUUGCAAAUUAAAAGGGAUUGUUGACAAAUUAGAAAUUAAUAAGGAAUUACAAAAGGCAGGAGUGUUGCAAACAAACCAAUCACGUGAUGAAUUACAAGAGGGAAAGCACUCCUCCAAAAGUUGCAUGAUUCUAAAUAAACCCAUAUCAGAAUUAUUGCCAUUUUCAGUUACGAUCAUCAUAAAAACAGCACAAUUAUUGUUUCAGUUACAUAACCAGCAGAUAACCAACCAGUCCUUACAAAGACAGCAGUCUAGCAAAUAAAAGGAAUCCCAAACAAAAACAGUUGUGGUAUUAUGGCAAUAUUCAUUAGUAGCUUCAAUGCAUUAAUCAGAAAAUCAAACAGUUUGCAGUAUGUUACACUUUGGCAAUUCAAGAGGCUCAUAUAGAGCAUCAGAAUGCUAUAUAUAGCACGUCACAAAACACAGGUAAGGGGGAAGAACGGAAAACAGAGAAUUUAGGGAGGAUAUCACGCACAUACAUUCGGCAAAAAGAGACAUACAACAUAAGCAGAGAUAUACACUCGAGGACGCAGAGAGCAUCCCAACAGUGAAAAAACAGAGGGCAUUCAAAAACAGACACACAGACAAGUACCAGAGAACAGUCCAUACACAUUUUACUCAGCAUUACAUAUAGCACAGAGAAUCCAGAAACAAGAACAGAACCGCAGUCUAGAAUACACUUAGAGAUCCAGCCAAUAACAUACAACGUCCAUAUCACAAAAAAGAGGGCAACUUGUAAAAUCUCAGAUCACGCCAGAGGACAAUUCCAGAAACAUAUCUCACAUACAGAAGAAAUAGAUAGGCUGCUGGUCAAGAACACAGAGAUAAAGGUAAUCACAGCAAGGUUAUACACAGGAGCAUUGUCAGGUAAGAAGCGUUUUUUGUUUAGUGACCAAUCUGUGCUUUGAACUUAGACGAUAAAUUUAUAAACAAUUUUACUUAGCCAUACAUAAUUACAUACAUCCAUUCCCAUUUGAUUGAUUCCACAGAGAUACAUAUACUGUCAUUUAACCAAGAACGAAAGUAAAUAAUGCUCUAUAACUACUUUAAAGCAAUGAAAUUUGCUUCUGGAUGAACAUUCAUACCAAUUAGUUUUGUUUCUCAUCAUAUUGAUAAUUACUUCAUACUAAGACAAAUAAGUAAAGUUNNNNNNNNNNNNNNNNNNNNNNNNNNNNNNNNNNNNNNNNNNNNNNNNNNNNNNNNNNNNNNNNNNNNNNNNNNNNNNNNNNNNNNNNNNNNNNNNNNNNCAUAAAUAAUUAAAAUAUAUAUUAUCAAAUUAAUUAAGGAAUUCUUAUAGUAAGGUUAUGGUUCGAGUUGUCUAUAACUUCUCUGAAAAUGAGAAGAAGGUCUACAACCAACACCGUCUCUAAACUAUUAAUUCUAUAUAACUAAUUAAAAACUAUUUUACCGAACAAGUUUUAUGAGACUUUUAGUGAGGUCACGGUUCGAGUCGUCUCUAACUCCUCUGAAAAUGGGAAGAAGGUCUACGACCAAUACCGUCUCUAAAACUAUUAGUCCCAUUGAAUCGAAACAAUUGCAUAUUUUGAACAAAAUUCAAAUUAACUAAUUCAAUAAACUAAUACUUCUAAAACAUAUCGGUAUUUUCCAAAUCAUUAACAAUCAACCAAAGUAAAAAAAAAAUUUGAACUAGAACUACGUAAGCCUUGAUCCCCUUAACAGGGGUACGUAGGACCAAAGUCAAUAUUGUCAGGCUCAAAAAAAAAUAAAAAAUAUUAUGUUUUACUAAUUUAAUUUUUAAAUGAAUAAUUGUUAAGGGUAUAGAAGUCCAUGUUAUUAGCGAGGGUGUCGUUUUAACACGGGCGGACGGGGUGCUAAUACCUUCCCCGAUCCGUAAUUGACUCCCGAGCUUAGAAUCUUUGGUUAAAGACCAUAUUAUCCUAAUUGGGCUCAUUAGAGUUUUCUACGUUUUAACCGCAAAAAACGUAGUGGCGACUCCAAAUCAAUCGGGAGAGGUAGAAAUCGAGUUCGCCUCCCCCAAGUCGUAGGGCCGGUCUUCCAACCGAAAAUCGGGUCGCAACAUUGUUGAACUUCAACUCUAGCGUAAUGUCACCAUUGAUUUGAUUAAAAUUAUAUGAUAACUUUUAUAUCAUAGAUAUAUAGAUAAAAGAUGAAAACAUCAUUCCCAAAAUAAAAUGAGAUAAGAAAGACACACUACUAAUGUAGAGUGUAUAUAUACAUAUUACUCAUCCAUUUUAGAUAAAAUACAUUAUAGAAGAGCAACAACAGCCUUACACACUUAUAAUAACUUUGAUGGUAUAAGUGUUGAAAGCGGAUUCCUAGUGUGCAAGUUAUUUAACUUAAUUAGAGUGAUGAGUUAUGAACAAUUAAUUUAGUGACUUUAGUUAUUUACUCCCUUUUUUGGUUCCUUUUAACCAUACCAUAAAGACCAGUCUCAUUUUAUUAAGUUAAUAAUAUCAUUUCUUAUGAAAGGUUGCUAUCAAAGAAUAUAAUGAACAAAAAAAUAAAGUUAACAGUUAACCGUAUCACUUCUUUCAAAGGGUUGGUAUAAAGAAUAAAAGAAUAAAUCUAUAAAUAAAUGUUAGUUGUGGAAAUGUAAAUCAAAGAAAGUAAAUGUUAGUUGCGGAAAGUAAAUGUUAGUCAUAGAAAGUAAAUGAUAGAAAAUAAAUGUUAGGGGUUAGAUUAUUAUUCAUCACUCUUUUAUUGUCAAGUAACAAUCUGUUGAUUGGAUUGGACAUUUUGCAUUUUAUUCCUAUGUACAAAGUUACAAACCAUGAAUUGGUUUGAGCUUAUGUUUUUAGGAAUCUUUAAUCAACAAAUAAAAUUUAUAAACUUUAACACUAUACUAUUUUGCAUUGCAUCUCUUUUAAGAUUCAGUUAUAGUAUAGUAUAGGGUUAUGUCGAACCAAAGAGAACUGUAUUAGAAGAGAAUGACAUAUGCAUUUUAUAGCAAAAAUAACAAUUAACAACUUUUUGAUGAUUUUGUGUUAUGUUUGCAUAAAAGUUAACUAAGAAAAACAUAAACUAAUAUUCACAAAUUCUUGAGGAGAAGAUUGGUUUGAAUUAUGGAAUUAUUGUUAGGUACAAGUGAGGUAAGAAUACACCUAGAGGGGGGGGGGGUAAUAGGUGUAGCGGAUCACUAAUCCCACUUUUCCGAUAUUUGCUUAGAAUACAAAGCUAAAGUAGUUAAUCGAUUAUCAACAUGGUUAAUCGAUUAAGGACAAUUUUGUUAAUCGAUUAUGGUCAGUACGUUAAUUGAUUAUACUGAUUGUUUACUCUUUGAAAAAAAGUUUCUUGCUUUGAAAAACAGUGAUGAAUAUAGAUCUUUACUAUCUUAAUAUUGAGUCGUGAUUAUCAACAGAUUAACAACAAUUAGAAAUUAAUCACAGAAUGCAAAUUAACUAAGAAAGUACGUAAGGACAGAAACUUAAAGAGAUACGGAAAGAUAAAAUAUGCUUGAGGAUUUUAUCCUGGUUUGUUUGCGGGUCCACUUGCAAACUACUUCUAGGUCUCCCGGUUGAUGUGGGAGAUUUUUCUUCACUAUCAGAAAUGUAAUUCAAUUACAAACACACUUUCAAUGAUCAUAGCAUAAGAUUCUUUCUUGAAACUGUUGAGCUACCAAGCUCGGUUUGACCUCUAUCUACGCCUACUUGGAUACCACACCGUUCACGCAAUUUUGCCCUAGCUGAAACUUUCGAUUGAAUCAAGACUCCCUACCUUGUGAAGACUACUGAUUCUCAACUUGUGAUAAUACCAUAAACCAUGAGAAUUAUCCUCAAUUUAUAGAAUUUUUCUAGGUUAUUUUGCACACAAGAUUGUGGGGAUAUAGACACUGAAAUCGGCUCUCUAUAACUCUUGACAAAAGAUCUCACAAACAGCCUUAAGAACUAGAUUUAGAAAUCAUGCAAGGUAUUUCAACUGAAUGAAAGUGUUUGGCACAAUGAAAAGACUUUCUCUCUCUUUUCACUCUUGAAAAUGUAUGUAAAAAAACUUCAAAGAAUCAACAAGAUAGCAUCGCAAACUUAAGCACAAUGAAUCUGUGUUUUUCUUUUCUAUCAGUUUUAUUUCGUUGUUUUUUUGAAAGUGUGAAAAGCUUAUUUUAAAACCUGAUUUGCUUAUGUUUCAAAAUAAUAGAUUUUUUUUAUAACUGACUCAACUGAUAUUAAUUGAUUAAAUGCCAAGUUAAUUUAUUAAUGUGUUCCUUGAAAACAGAUUUUCAAUUAUGGCUUAAUCGAUUAGAAACUUGCUUAAAUGAUUAAUAAGUAGAAAUAUUGGGAGGCUAGCUUUUGUAACUCCAUUUAAUUGAUUAUGCCUUUUCUUAAUCGAUGAACAGAUUUCACCAGGACUUAAUCGAUUACCAAAUGGGUUAACCGAUUAAUAUUGUUUUAAAGACGAUUUUUCUAACUAUAUGGUAAACACCCUAUACGAUGACUAAACAUGCAACAUGAUUUUAGAAAUGAUUCAAACUUUUAUGCACAAAACCAUGUAUGCUUAAUGCAAAUGCAUGAAUGUUACUUAUCAUAUAUAUGUAUGUAGAUUUUAUGCCUCAUCCUAUAUGAUUUUCAUUUUAGACUUUUUGUGAGACACUUCCAUCUUGGGUUUACCUAACAUAAGACUCAAUACUAGGCAAACAUCUUAGGACUCUGCAAUAUAAAAAACAAUCCUAAGUUCUAUGAUGUUAACCUUGAGUUCUUGGUAUGUUGUUUGUUGAGAUUUCCAAGUCUUCAAGCUUCCAUAUAAGACCUUGUCUUCAUCAAAACUUUGUAGGUUGGUUAUAAUGGCAUCCUUUGACUAUUUUCCAUAUCAAUCUCCCCCUUUCUGAUGAUGACAAACACUAAAACAGUUCCUCUAUUUGAUGACUUGAAGUUGGACAAGCUAUGUUUGCAAAGGUUGAAUCAGAAUGCACUGCUCCCCCUCACUUGGUUCUCCCCCUCAAACCAUGUAAGAGGUAAUGUUAGGGCAUCAACAUGAUUACUUGCGGAAGCUCACUUCAGCCUACAAAACAGCUCAAACAACACCUUUCUCCCCCUUUUGGCAUGAUCAAAAAGCGUUGGCAGAUUAUGAUAUUAAAAGCCAAAAGUAAGGAAAGAUUUAUACAGUUUACUGGUCUUAAUCCAUUAAUUAAUCAAGGAUAAUCGAUUAAUCAGUCAAAAAAUUACUUGAACAUGUGCAUAGAGUUUAGCACUAAUCGAUUAUUAUAUGGACUUAAUCAAUUAUUUGGUAAUAAAAACAGAUUAUGAUAGAAUUGUUUGCGAGAUUUAUCUGUUCGUGUACGCGUGACAUGAAUUCCAAAGCAUAUUAAUCAUUCAAUAGUAGAUAUAAUCAUGUAGAUAAAAACAAAGGAUCACACAAUAAUUGUAAACAUAUUCGACAUUAGCAACAAAGUUUUACGAAACAUAAGAGUAAGUGCAAACGAGUACAUAAGAGUUGAACAUAAAAAACAUAGCAAAAUACAACCAAACUACAACGAACACCAAAAGAUAAUUUCCAAAGCAUAACACACACACACACACACCCUACACACACUAGACAAUCCUAUAUACGCUAAUCUUGAGGAGGUGAUGGUUGGGAUGAGCCAUGUGUAGCACGCACAAUGAAAAUGAUGCAUUCAAGAUAUUUGGACAAACUCUAUUGCUGCUGCUGAAAUUCAACUGCUAUGGAAUCCCCCAUCGUCUGAAAAUGUCCAUCAAUAUCCGCAUUGAGGCGAUGUUCCAUAGCAUCUAGGUGAGUGAUAAGUGCCAAACAUACCUAAAAGUCAUACACUUUUACGACACUUAUCUUAAGCAUAAUUGAGAAAAACCAACUUAAAACAAUAUUUUUUAUCUAAAAUAUCACAAUUUAGUAUAUUUCUAUUUGUAUUUCCUUUUUAUAUAUUUUUCAGGAAUUAAAAUGAAGAAAAGAAGAAAAAAGACUCAUGGUCAACAAAGCAAAAAAGUUAAGAAACCAAGAUGCUCCACCAGGAAGCUAAGCGUGGAACAAGCCCCGCUGAGCUGAUCUGGCCCCCAACUUGACAUGAUCACCAGCUUGACCGAGACCAAACUGCUCUCCCAGGCAGCUGAGCGGACCUGCUUAGCCGCUCAGCCUAACACCAGACUAAACCUGCCACGGUCAGAAAUCUGCUUGACACGGUCAGACAUGAGCUUGGCACAAGACCAAGCUGCUGAACAAGCAGCUUAGCAAUCCAACCAAUCAGCUUAGCGGAGAACCAGACUCUUGACCAGAUCAGCAAGCACCAAGCCACGUCCCAGUCAGCAAGGUCAGAAGUUGCUGAAGAAGCAGCUUAGCGGUGAAGCAGGUACGCUGAGCGGUGUACAUCAGCCUUGACUUAACCAUCAAGCAAACCAUGAAGUCAUCCAUGACCUCACAUCAAGUAGCCCACCAUAGGCAUUUCAGAAGUAGCUCACAAUAGCUGGUCUCAUAGCCCACAACUAGCUUUGAUGAGUCAUGCAGAAAGAGGUGACUAAGCUACUUGGUCAAGGGACCAAACCCAUGCUGAAGGGUUUGGUUAGCUGCUUAACGGUCCAGCUAAGCAACUCAGCGGUCUGGUAUUAAGGCAUAAAAGUAAGAGACCAUUUCCUUCGAGCAAGAUAUACCAAAAACACACAAAAAAAAGAUCAAAAACACUUGAAAGAAGGAAAUCCCUCACUAGGAAUCUCUCUUUGGAGUUCUUUCUUCAUUUCUUAGGUUAGAGUUUUUAUUUCAAGUAAGUCUUGUAAUUUUUAGUUUAGAAUUUAAGAGGAGAAAAGGAGUAGGCAAAUGAGAUGCAAAAAUCAAUUUUUUACUCUCAUUUGGAACUCAAAAGCAUCCAAUCCUUGGAUGGAUUGCUCAUGCUCCUAAACAUUUUCUUUUGAACAAGGUUAUGUAAUUUCUACUUCUUCUUAAUUUACAAAAGUUUGAAUUUUAAUCAUUGAAGUUGGUGCUUUGGUUAAUAUUAUUUGUUUGAGAAGUACUUAAUGCUCUUUUUAUAUUGAUCACCUAAAAAAUGAUUUCAAGUCAAUAAAACUACUUGUCUCAAACACUUACCAAAUAAACUAAGAAGUAGUUGUACUACCUAGUUUAUUUGCCAAGUUAAGAAUGUUUUUCUUAAGAUCUUACAUUCAUUACUAAUUCAAUAUUAGAGUCGCCAAUGGUUAGGGUGCCAGACCCUAAUCUCUUUUANNNNNNNNNNNNNNNNNNNNNNNNNNNNNNNNNNNNNNNNNNNNNNNNNNNNNNNNNNNNNNNNNNNNNNNNNNNNNNNNNNNNNNNNNNNNNNNNNNNNAAAGGGAGUAAAUAAAUAAAUGUCACUAAAUUUAUUAUUCUUUUGUUCUUCAUCUAUUUAUUUGUAUCUAACAACUAACUAUUCAUCACUUUUAUAUAUUAGAAUACCAUUAAACCGGUGUUGGAAUUUAUUCCACAAAACCGAGAUGGUAUUCAAAGAUACUUAAUAAUUAUGUAAUAGAUAAUUGCUUCGAUACCAUUAUACCGGCGUUAGAAUUUAUUCUAACAAAGCCGAGAUGGGGCAAAUAAGGAAUGACUUAUUUACAUGAUUAUUAAAGAAGUAAGUUGUAACUGGAAUAUUCUUGAAACCAUUAUACCGACGUUGAAGUUUAUUUCAACAAAGCCGAGAUGGCGAACAAAGAAUAAAACUGAGUUCUCUUACUUAAUUAAACAAAAUGAACAUAACGAAAAUGAGAUUAUUAAUCUUUCAAUAAAUUGGCACUGCUGUCGGGACGAUUUGUUGAGAGGAGAAAACUCCCAAUAAAACACCGAGAAACCGGCUUUCAACAAAUUGGCGCUGCUACCGGGGAAUUGCUUUAAUAAUAAAACAUUUCAUAUUUAUAUGUCAUUAAUCAAAUAAUUGUGCAUAAACUUAUUUUUAAAUUAAUUCUUCUUUUUAACUUUGUACAAAAAUGUGGAUUAUUAAAUAUGUAUAUUAUUGAUUCACUAAAUUCUUCUUGGAAAAUAGAGAGGAGAACGUUUUUUGUGCAUGAGUAGGAAUAAACAACUUGAAUUUUCUCUUGACCCUGAAAUAGAGAAAACCCUCAAGAAGCAAAAAAGAGCACGAAAGAAGGCGCAUAAAACAAAAACUACUUUCCAAGAGAAAAGGACAGAGAUGGCAGACAAUAAUGAGUCCAGGGCAGAAAACCAAGGCAGCAUAGGAGGAUUUAUCAGUUUCAAUCCUAGAAACAUGAUAAGAAUCGGGAGACCUUCCAGCUCUCAAAGGCCGGUUGAAAUGAAAACAGGGUUGGUACACCUCAUGUACGCCAACUCUUUCACUAGAUUUAGACCACGAAGAUCCGUACAACCAUCUCUCUAAAUUUUAUGAGUUGUUUUGUACUUCUAGGAUCCCCGAGUCUAAAGAGGAGACCAUCUUACUAAGACUUUUUCCGUUAACAUUAAUCGGAAAAGCCAAAUAAUGGUUCUUUGAUCUCCCGCGGCAUAUGCAAAGUAACUAGAAUACGGUGGAAGAUAAAUUUUUGUCGAGAUAUUUUCUACAAGGAAAAUUUAUGGAUUUAAAAACUGCAAUCUCCACCUUUAUGUAGCCUUCUGGGGAAAGCCUAUGCGAAGCAUGUGAUCGAUUUAAAUCUAUGCUCAGGAAAUGCCCAAACCAUGGAUUUGACGUGCAAACUCAUAUUCAUAUUUUUAUUAAUGGACUUCAGCAGCAGCAUAAAUGGAUACUAAAUGCUACUGCAGGCGGACAAUUAAUGGCCAAACCUCCGCAAGAAUCCAUUGAUACUAUCGAACCAAUGGUUUUAAAUGAUGAGAAAAGUCAACACCAGCGAAGGCCAUCACCCCGACAAGGUGGAAUACUUGAACUAAACCCAGCUGAUGUUGUUUUGGCCCAACACAAAUUGCUUGAACAACAGUUAGAAGAGGUGACCCAAAAGCUUAAUGAUCUACCAAAACAAUUGCGGGAAACCUCAAAGAAGCAGAUUUUUAGGUGUGACAACUGCAAUGAGGACCAAGAUGUCAAUGUCUGCCAGAAUGAGGAGGUAAAUUUUGUUGGGAAUCCUCCAAGAUAAAAUUUUCAAGGUAAUUACCCUCAAGGAGAUAAUAAUCAAUUUCAAAAGAAUCAACCUUGGACACAAGACCCUCCUCAAAGACAAAACUUCUACCCUCGAAAUAAUCAAUAUCAACAUCCAACUUAGGACAAAAGCAUCAAACUAGAGGAUACCUUGAACCACUUUAUGCAAAUGACCAUGGCAAAUCAGAAAAAACACUAAUGCUUCUCUUAGGUAUAUGGAAAUACAAAUUGGCCAGAUGGCCAAGCAAAUAGCUGAAAAUGAAAAAUCAACAUUUUCAGCUAACACAGAAAUAAACCCUAGAGAGCAUAGCCAUGCAAUUCUGAGAAGUGAAUCUGGACCAUCGGGGCAGUAGAAGUAAAAAUUGUUGAUCAAUGUCAAGCUAAUGACAUUAAAGAAGCGCUUGCUGGGAGGCAACCCAAUAUAUUUUGAUAUAUAUAUAUAUAUAUAAUAUGUUCAUUCCUUUUUCUAUAUUUUAUUAUUUUAAAAGUAAAUUUUUUUUAAGGGAUCAAAAAUCAAAAAAAGAAAAUCUUGUGAGCAAGAGAAAAAUUUUAUUUUCAAAAAUGGGUUAUUGUGCCAAAUGUGGAAAUUCAGAAAUAAAAAAAGGGGCCCAAAAUAUAGUCAAAAUCUUGGUCAAAGCUCAUUACUCGGUCAAGCCUGGACCAUUGACCCACCGCUCAGCGUGGGGGACCAUGUGCUCAGCGUGGGGGACCAAGCGCUCAACGCAGAUCUGACCAGGCUAGGUGCCUUGGAACAAAAAAUUCCUCAAAAGAGGAGUUUUUCUUAAAUUAUUAACCGAAUUUCUUGACCAAAGACCUUGACCAAGGACUUCCAACUCCUAUAUAAACACCCAUUCUUGAAACAUAAGCAUCAAGCAAAAAUUCUCUUCUUAAUUCAAAAACUCUUUCUCCCAAAAUUUAAAAUUUUGUCUUCACUUUCAUCAUGAAUUUCCAAAGUUCAUCAAGGAGAGGAAAGGAAGUCUCAAGGGAGAGCAACAAUUCCAAAUUUGUCUCUAAUGAUGCUAAGAAAAAAUUCAAGGAAAUCACACUCAAGAAUGUUAUAACUUUAGAAAAAAUUGUCAACUUGAGUGGUGAUGACUUUGGAGGUUUUCUUUUCAUCAUAUAAAAGUAUGGAUGGCAAAAAAUUGCUCAACCAAAGAAAAUGUUUUCUUUGGAUAUGGUCAAACAAUUUUUUGCCAACUCAAUCACAUCAAGUGAGGCAAGGAGAAAUCGUUAUACUUGGGUAAAUGGGACUCAUGUUCUCUACAACAAGCAAGUAAUCAAUGAAUACUUGGGUAACCCAUGGAAUCCAACAAGUGAUGGUCAUGACUUGUGCGACUUUCAAAUGAAGCUCAAUGCUUCCUCCUUGGGUGAAGAAGAAAGUCAUGAAGAAGAAUAUGUUAGGAAAUGUCUAUGUUUGGAGGACUUGGAGCUCAACAUGUUUGGGCCCAUUUACAAAUUUUGUAUGACUCAACAAACCCAAAUAUGGGCAAGCUUCAUACUCUCCAACAUAUGGCCUUCAUUACAAGUUUCGGACAUCCAUCUUCCUAAAGCAAAGCUAAUUAGAUCCAUCUAUGAUGAAGACUCCAUAGAUAUUGCUAUAGUAAUCUCAGAUGCUAUUUGGGAUUGCAUCAACAAAGGUAUCCCUUCAAUUAUUCUUCCAUCUUUUAUCACUAAUUUGUGUAAAUUUCAGAAUGUGCCUGAACCCUACAACGAAAUGAUGGCCCUCAAAUCCUAAAUCAACCAUGCUUAUGUCAUCAAAAAUUGCAAAGAAAAAACCCUUUCCCAAGCUCAAACCGAGCUUAAAAAGAAAUUUGGUGAUUUAAACUCAAAGCAACCACGUGAAUAUGGGAGGACCAUAAGUUCUAAGGAAGAUGCCAUAAUGAAGGAACAACAAAUGCAAAAUUCACAACAAAAGGCAAUCUAUUGUGAGCUUAAAGGCAUCUACAAAAGUUUGCAUAGUAUUUUUGGGAAGAAACGUGAUUUCAAGGGAGUAUUCUAUGAAGAAUUUAUAGCAAUGACAAAAUUGCCCGAGGGGAGAUCUCAAGAUACAAGUGAAGAAGAAGAAAGGGACAAUGAUGAAGAAUGAGAAAAAGCCUUUCCGGUUGUUUCUUUCUCUAAAAUUUCAAAAUUUCAUAUUUUGUUGCAUUUCUUUAUGUCAUUUCCAAAUUAUGUUCUUAAUUUAUGUUAUCAGCAAGUUAACAUUAAUAGAGUGUCUUUUUUAUUAGUCAUGUUAACUUUUUAUUUUUAUGUUCUAAUUUUUAAACAAGUUAAACAAAAUUAUUAAAUCACAUCAAGUAAAUCCCAAAUUUUUUUAAGACUUGAGGACAAGCCUUCAUUUAAAGGGGGGGGGACAAGACUUGAUGUAAUUUAAAAAAUUUCUUUUUUGACUAAAUUGUGUGAAUAUGCAAAAAGUAUAUUUGUUUGUUCAAAAAACUCCAAACAAUUUCAAAACCAAAAACAAAAUGGCUAAAAAUUUUUUUUUAAAGCAUGAUCACAUGAUUAGAAAUGAUAAGCAUACUUUAAAUUAAGCUUUGAUUGAGCAAAAUGUGAUGUAUGCUAAACUUUUGUGAAAAAGUCACAUAAUGUCAUAACUUGAAAUUUUUUGCAAAUUGUUCAAUUUUAUGUUACUAGAUCUUUGCAAAUAUUUUUGUAUUAAAAAGUGUGAAUCCAAACCAAGUAAGGGAGUGAGCCAAACACAUGAAUGAGAAUCAACAUUUUAUUUGUCUAAUUAGACUUGUUUGAAUCUUUAAAUCCCUUAAUUGCAUAAAAAUGAUAAGAAGUGAUCAAGGCAUGUUCUUUGAUUAGUUGAACCAAAGGCCAAAAAGUCCAAACCAAGUUAGGAGCAUCCUUUGUAAGCCCCUUUGAGCCAAACAAAUUCAAUGAAUUUUUUUAAAACUAUCCCAUAAAACUGAAUUGAAAAGAAUGUUCUAAGAGAGCAUUAAAUUUUAAAAGAGUAGUUUGAAAGAAUCAAGUUGNNNNNNNNNNNNNNNNNNNNNNNNNNNNNNNNNNNNNNNNNNNNNNNNNNNNNNNNNNNNNNNNNNNNNNNNNNNNNNNNNNNNNNNNNNNNNNNNNNNNUUUGCUUCUUAAAAGAAAAAGAAAAAACUCAAUCUUCAAACAAAAAAAUGAAAAAGAAAACAAAAAGAGAUUGAGAAAAAUAGAAGCCAAAGUUCAAAUUUAAAGAGGUUGGGAAAAAUAAUGGAGAAAAAAGAAGACUAAAGUAUUCCAUUGGAAAAAUUUCAAAAAUGCUCUCUUUUUAAGCUUAGCCUUGAAAAAUCUUGAAAAACCAUUAUCCAAACCAAGCCUCAUUGCAACCAAAAAGAAGACCUUAGUCAUCUUUGAUUGAUUAUGUAAUUGAAGAGAAUAUGUGAGAUGAAAAACAAGUUCAAAUUACUACAAACAAAUGUUUAAUUUUUUUUGAGUGAAACAAUUACCCUUAAAAAUUUCCAAUUUUGAACUUGUGUGCCAAGACACACUUUUGUUAGAAAAAUAUUUGCUUAGGUCAAUUGUUACACAUUUUUUAUAACAAAAGCAUUUGAUUUCUUGUUUGAAGCAUUAUGUGUCAAAAUUCACAAUUCAUGAAAAAUCUCAUUGAAAUCUAUUUUUGACAUGCUUAUACAUUUUGAAAUCAUGUUCAUCAUCAUCAUCAUCAUCAUUUUUAGCCAAAUUGAAUUUUCGGAUAAUUUUCACCUUUUGUUUGAACAAACAAAGUUUUAAGUUAGGGGGAGUUUCGUGAUAAGUGCCAAACAUACCUACAAUUCAUACACUUUUAUGGCACUUAUCUUAAGCAUAAUUGAGAAAAACCAACUUAAAACAAUACUUUUUAUAUAAAAUAUCACAAUUUAGUAUAUUUGUAUUUGUAUUUCCUUUUUAUAUAUUUUGUAGGAAUUAAAAUGAAGAAAAGAAGAAAAAAGACUCAUGGUCAACAAAGCAAAAAAGUCAAGAAACCAAGAUGCUCAACCAGACAGCUAAGCUUGGAACAAGCCCAGAGCUGACCUGGCCACCAGCUUGACAAGGCCACGGGCUUGACCGAGACCAAACUGCUCAACCAGGCAGCUGAGCAUACCUGCUUAACCGCUCAGCCUAGCACCAGACUAGACCUGGCACGGUCAGAAAUCUGCUUGACACGGUCAGACACAAGCUUGGCACAAGACCAAGCUGCUGAACAAGCAGCUCAGCGAUCCAACCAGGCAGCUCAGCGGAGAACCAGACUCCUGACCAGAUCAACAAGCACCAAGCCACAUCUCAGUCAGCAUGGCCAGUAGCUGCUGAACAAGAUGACUUAACCAUCAAGCAAACCAUGAAGUCAUCCAUGACCUCACCUCAAGUAGCCCACCAUAGGCUUUUCAGAAGUAGCUCACAAUAGCUGGUCUCAUAGCCCACAACUAGCUUUGAUGAGUCAUGCACAAGGAGGUGACUAAGCUACUUGGUCAAGGAACCAAACCCAUGCUGAAGGAUUUAUUUAGCUGCUUAGCGAUCCAGCUAAACAGCUCAGCAGUCUGGCAUUGAGGCCUAUAAAUAGGAGACCAUUUCCUUCGAGCACGAUAUACCAAAAACACACAAAAAAAGAUCAAAAACACUUGAAAGAAGGAAAUCUCUCUCUAGGAAUCUCUCUUUGGAUUUCUUUCUUCAUUUUUUAGUUUAGAGUUUUUAUUUCAAGUAAGUCUUGUAAUUUUUAGUUUAGAAUUCAAUAGGAGAAAAGGAGAAGGCAAAUGAGAUGCAAAAAUCAAUUUUGUACUCUCAUUUGGAACUCAAAAGCAUUCAAUCCUUUGAUGGAUGGGUCAUGCUCCUAAACAUUUUCUUAUGAACAAGGUUAUGUAAUUUCUACUUCUUAAUUUACAAAAGUUUGAAUUUUAAUCAUUCAAGUUAGUGCUUUGGUUAAUAUUAUUUGUUUGAGAAGUACUUAAUGCUCUUUUUAGAUUGAUCACCUAAAAAAUGAUUUCAAGUCAAUAAAAUUACUUGUAUCAAACACUUAACAAAUAAACUAAGCAGGCUUUUCUUAAGAUCUUACAUUCAUUACUAAUUCAAUAUUAGAGUCGCCAAUGGUUAGGGUGUGACAACCUAAUCACUUUUAUGGCCGUAAUAUUGUUUAAGUAAUGAAUAUAAGUGUUCAUCAUUCNNNNNNNNNNNNNNNNNNNNNNNNNNNNNNNNNNNNNNNNNNNNNNNNNNNNNNNNNNNNNNNNNNNNNNNNNNNNNNNNNNNNNNNNNNNNNNNNNNNNCUAUACUAUACUACAAUUGAAUCUUGAAAGAGGUGUAAAUUGUAAAAUAGUAAAGUGUUAUCAAUAAAUUUAUUUGUUGAAAACACCUUUUAAUAUACAAAAGUGAUGAACUACCUUACUAACUUUUAUUUAUUCUUAUUUACAUUCCGCAUUUUUUAUAUUCUUUAAUACCAACCUUUCUUAAGGAAGAAGUUUGGUUUGUUAAUAAAAUGAACCCGAAAGGGAGUAAAUAAAUAAAGUUCACUAAAUUUAUUAUUCUUUUGUUCUUCAUCUAUGUAUUUGUAUCUAACAACUAACUAUUCAUCACUUUUAUAUAUUAGAAUACCAUUAAACCGGUGUUGGAAUUUAUUCCACAAAACCGAGAUGGUAUUCAAAGAUACUUAAUAAUUAUGUAAUAGGUAAUUCCAUCGAUACCAUUAUACCGACGUUAGAAUCUAUUCUAACAAAGCCGAGAUACGGCAAAGAAGGAAUAACUUAUUUACAUGAUUAUUAAAGAAGUAAGUUGUAACUGGAAUAUUCUUGAAACCAUUAUACCGACGUUGGAAUUUAUUUUAACAAAGCUGAGAUGGCGAACAAAGAAUAAAAUCGAGUUCUCUUACUUAAUUAAACAAAAUGAACAUAACGAAAAUGAGAGUAUUAAUCUUUCAACAAAUUGGCACUACUGUCAGGACGAUUUGUUGAGAGGAGAAAACUCCCAAUAAAACACCGAGAAACCGGCUUUCAACAGUGAGCAAGACCAAACGAUGGUUCUUGAGGCUCAACAUAUGCCUCGGUAGGUGGUGGCUCAGGGAUUAGCUCACUAGGAUUCGCAGCAUUAUCUUCAUUUGGCAUAUCCUCAUUCACUCUGGCAUUAUGAUCUUCUUGAUAUUUCCAUUAUUUACAAUAUUUGUAAAUGCCCAUUUUGUGAAUCAAAUUAUCACCAACAGAUGCUCUCGGGAGUUUGUCAUGAUAGUGUCCACAUCUGAUGUGUUAAUCUCGUAAUAGUCAAUGAUGCGAGAGAUGAAUAUUCCAUAUGUGAGUAGUCUUGAGGAAGAUGAAGCUAUGCCCUACAUAACUUUCAUAAUCUCCAAAGGCCAGUUCACUGUAAUGCCUUCCCGUAUGGCGAACAUAAGCUUCAGAUCAUUGAUGGAGGGUUGAGCGUGGUUGGUAUUCCUCUAAACUAAUAUAUAUGCAAUCAAAUAGUGUAAGAGUCAGUUUGCAACAGAUAAUGACCUUUCUUUGGUCAAUUCCCCUUUCACAAACAAGUGAUGAAAGUGCGCAUGUCAAGAGGAGCACUUUGGAAAGCUCUCUCAUUAUAUGUCAUGGUUUUGAUGAGGACAACUAGAGCUUGAAGAUCAUCAACAAAUCAACAUGCUUAAGUCUUUUGAUUGGUACUAGACUUAGACUAGAGACUAGUUUAGGUUGAGUCUAAGGCUUAGGUCACCUUAACACAUGUCACAUAUGCAUAAAGUCUUAAAUCAUUUCAUCUUUGAGAUAUGUCAUAUAUAAUAUGUUCAUGCAUCACAUAAAUACAUGUAUAUGUGCAUCUUUGGCAUAAACUUAGUAUUAAACAUGUAUGAAUCAAGUGCACAACAUAUUUAAGUUUUUGUAAUUGAAAAUACAUAUAAAAAUAUGAUGUUAAUCGAUUAAGGCAUAAGUUAAUCGAUUAACCUAACUUUUUGAAAAGCUAUUGAAACUGAAAAACUUGAAAAACAGAAUUAGUUACGUUUUUGAACAACGUUAGUCGAUUAACCAAGGUCUUAAUCGAUUAACUGGGCUUCGGAACUGAUUCUUUAUAAACUGCGUUUUCAGAAUUGAUGUCAUAGUGCAUGUUGCAUUUCUUAGAGAGUUAGAGCAUAUUUCGUGAUAUUUGUUGCAUCUAGUUGAUAGUGCAUUUGUGAGUUUAGAAAGGAGAGAAUUCUAUGCUUUAGGAUUGAGUGGCAUUUCAUGAUAUAUUUCUCAUCAUUUCAUCUCACAUGUUCAUGCAUAUUAUUGAUGCUUUUGUGAAGUUUUUACAAUCUGGAAUUUCUGUUUUGAAACUAAUACAUUGUCAUAUUGCAUGAGUUUGUAUUAGGUGUUUAGAGUAAAGCCUUACUUGUCAUAUAUGAGCUUUGUAAUUGCUUAAGUUUACUCUAGAAUUUUGUUGUGAAAAAUUGUUGUAACAUUGGAAAUCUCAAGGNNNNNNNNUCGAGGUGUCGUACCACCUAAGAGAUUAAGUUGUAUCUUCAUAUUGCUUAGAGUUCUUGAUUAGGAAAGAACAAGGUUCUUGGCUGGGGCUACGCCGAAAGAAAGGUUUUCUUUGUCGGUAGGAAGGGAGUCAAACCAUAGAAUAAGGUUCUUUAUUUUCUUGUGAAUGUCUAAGUGUUGUAAUUGGAUGAUGUGCUUGUAAUAACAUUGAUUCAAUUAUAGUGAAGAAAAUCUCCCAGAUCAGCCGGGAGGCCUGGAUGUAGUUUGCAAGUGGACACGUAAACGAACUAGGAUAAAAAUCGUGUUGCAGGAUUUUUUCUCUCUCUCUUUCUCUCUUUAUUUCGUUUAAUCGGUUAACUUGUAUAGUAGAAUUAAUUGCUAUAUUCUGUAUAUUUGCUAUACUUUUAAUACUCUGAUAAAAUUGUAAGCUCUGUGUAUUCAUUUUAUUAUCGGUUAAUUGUCGUGCAAGAAACCGAAUCUUCCUAAGCUUACUGUUCUGUUUUAAUCGAUUAAGACAUUUGCGUUAAUCGAUUGUAUUCAUUCUUUUAAUCGAUUAAAUUGGGGUGAUUCAGCAUUAAGUGUUGAUUUUCGAAAAGCGGAUAUUCUAACCGCUACACCAAUUCAACCCCCCCCCCCUCUUCUAGGUGUAUUUUAACCACUGAUAUCUAACAAGUGAGGCUCUUUUAGGCAUGACUUGUACAUUUCAAUAGCAUCAAAUGAAUCCCAUGAAUCAUUCUUACAGUCUCCUAGCCUCGGUCCAUGACUAUCAAGACCUCCAACAUCCAAAAAAAACUAUUCACCCGAAUAAUCAUCUUCCCAAUUACCAUUGAAGAAAAUACAUCAUCUUUAUACCUAAAGUUGCUAUAGAAUUCCCUAAUGAGCGAAGGAUAAAUUUUACCUUUCAAUUCCAAGAAUUUAUUCACUCCUUGGGUCUCCAAACCAUGUGGGAAUUGGAAGCCUUGUGCAACCAGCCAUUUUAUAAGUUUGCUUCCGGCCUUGGAACUUGGCCAAUCUAGCUUCCUGAAGAAUCGGAUAGUAGUAAGGGUCUCCAUGGUUCUUUCGUCCACCUUGAGCCGAGAAAGAACCUUUUUCUCCGCCUCUUGCACGUUUGGCGAUGUGCUUCACUCUCAUACUUGUUGGUUCACUCAUCUUUACAGGUAUAAUACCGAUUUAAUUGAUUUGAUACUCGAUUUUCCGAAUUGAGGUUUUAGGGUUUCUAAAGGUGGAGAAAUGGUGAGGAUUCAGAUUAGUAGUGAUUGAGGGUUAUAGGGAGAUGGAACUACGAGAUAGUAUUUGAAAUUCAUAUUUAUUUCUAUGGGAGCACUAAAUUUAGAGGACUAAAUCAGAAGGGGGAGGUAAAGAGAGUUAGGGUUCUAAGUGAAGAAUGACCCAAAAUGUCACUUGAAUAUGAUAUAGCAAUGUUGUUAAUCGAUUAUCCGCAGAAGUUAUUCGAUUAACCAACUUAAAGUUUUCAAAAAUUUUAAAUUUUGAAGUCCAAGUAAUCGAUUGAUUUUGGCGAUAAUCAAUUAAUUAGAUAAUAAUUUUCAGAAUUUCAAAACUAUUGAGCCUAGGAAAUCGAUUAAAACGAGUGUUAAUCGAUUAAAACUCAAGAGGAAAAUUUAUUUUGGCUACUAGAACUCAAAUUAAUUGAUUAAAACACAGAAAAAUUGAUUAUUGAUAGAGCUUAACACAGAUUUCAGUGCAUUUUCAAGAUUUCUAGAGUAUGCUUAGAGUGAUAUUGCUAAGCUACAAACCUAAAGGAUGUUGACACACUAAGGGAGCAUAGAAACAUUCAUGAAGAUAAUCUAAGACAAGGAAGCAUGCAUUCACAACAUAUAUUAUUCAUAAGCAUAUAAUCAGGAUCAAGCAAAGGCACAAGAUUAUCCUAAGCAAAUUAGCUUAGAUAUUUUUCAUCAAGUAUGCCAAGUUCUCUCCGUAACACAAAGAAUGUAUCUCGAGGAAGGGGCUUGGUGAAGAUAUCUCCUAAUUGGUUCGAGGUAUCAACAAAUUCAAGUAUGCACUCACCUUUUUGUACAUGAUGUCUUAAAAAGUGAUGUCUAAUAUCUAUAUGCUUAGUUCUAGAAUGCAGAAUAGGGUUCUUUGAUAGAUUUAUGGCUCUAGUGUUAUUGCAUUUUAUAGGAAUUUUUACUAGUUUUAAGCCAAAGUCUAAUAGUUGUUGGUUUAUCCAUAGAAUUUGAGUAUAACACACGUCUGCGACAAUAUAUUCCGCUUCGAUGAUAGACAAAGCAACAUAUACUUGCUUCUUACUAUGCCAUGAUACUAGGGAGCUGCCCAAAAGUUGGCAAGUCCCAUUAGUACUUUUCUGGUCUAACUUACAUCCCGCAAAGUCACAAUCAGAAUAUCCUAUUAGGGACAACGAAGCAUCCCUAGGAUACCAUAAACUCAUAGAUAUUGUUCCUUUAAGAUAUUUCAUAACACGUUUUACAUCACUAAAAUGAGAUUCCUUAGGUAAGGCUUGAUAUCUUGCACACAUACAUACACUAAACAUUAUAUCGGGGCGACCAGCAGUUAGGUACAAUAAAGAAUCAAUUAUCCCACGAUAUUUUUUUACCUCAAUUGCUUUACCUUUUUCGUCUAUGUCAAGAUAACAGGAUGAUGCCAUAGGUGUUGGCGCUUCUUUACAUUUAUCUAUCUUGAACCUUUGCAAUAGUUCCUUGUAAUAUUUUGUUUGGUGAAUGAAUAUCCCAUUGCUCAUUUGUUUUAUUUGUAGUCAUAUAACCUUGUCGAGCGGAUGAUCUUUCUUUGUCUUCCACACCAUAGGCAUUUCUUGAUGAAGUGCAUUUAUUUUCUAUCAUCUUGAACCUCGUUUUCGAUUUCCAUGUUCUUUAUGUAUGCAUUUUCUAGCGCACUUGAAACAUCAUAACACACAACCUUCCUCUUCUCUUUCGGAGAUGAUUCAUCAAAUUUUACAUGGACAGACUCUUCAACAUGCAUAGUAUAUUUAUUAAAGACUCAAUAUGUUUUACUAUGAAUAGAGUACCCCAAAAAUAUUCCCUUGUCAGCUUUCGAAUCAAAUUUUCCUAGUAAUCUUUUACCAUUAUUCAAUAUGAAGCAUUUACAUCCAAAAGCAUGCAAGUGUGAAAUAUUAGGUUUUCGGCCUUUUAGCAAUUCAUAUGGCGUUUUUAACUUUGAUAUGCCACCUGUCAUAUGCCUUGAACAUCCACUGUCCAAGUACAAGUGAUAACCCUGAUUCCGAAGGCAUACCUGCAAAUCAAUUUACUUGCAUUGUUUAGGUACCCAAGUUAUAUUGGAUCCUUUCUUGUUAGUAAUCAAAUAUUCUUGCCCAUUUUGCAUCCAUACAUAUUUACCACUAGGUACUCCAUAUGUCCUAAUGUAGCAUGAUAUAGAUGUAUGACCAUGUUUACCACAAUAAAAACAAGUAGGCAUUUUAUGAUUAGUCCUAUUAUGCAUAUAAUCUUCUUGCCUCCUAUAUGGUCUUCUAUUUUUCUUUGGUUGAUAGCCAAGACCUCCAUGAUUACUUACAUUUCUAGAUGUAGCAAGUAGGUUGUUCAGGUUAUAACUACUACAUAUGAUCUUUGCCAAUUUAUCCUUCAAAUUAGAAAUUUCAGCAUUUAAAAUAUCGCAUUGAUCACAUAUAGGGGUUUCAAUAAACUUAGUGGCGUAACUACAUGAGCCAGAAGAGUAAAUAAGAUCUAGAGUCUCAUUUUCUAGUUUCAGUUCAUUUAAUUCCUCUUGCAUUUUAGUUACUUUACUUUCAUGCAACAUGAUAACUCGUUUUCUAUCUACAUUUACUUUUGCUAAUUUCUUAAGCUCCUCAUGCAACUCAACAAAUGCACUAUAGGAGACUCAUCGAAACAUGAAGAAGAGUCGGAAUAAUGUACCUCACUCGUGUCAUCCAGAUCGCUUGUGCUGCCAUUUUCUUAAGUGUUUGCCAUUAAGCACAAUUUGGCGGUCUCCUCUUCAUCGGAUGUGUUACUUGUUGUCUCGUCCUCUGUUACAUCCCAUACUAUGUAGGCCUUCUUGGAUUUAAAGUUCCGGGAGUUGCUCUUAUCAUGUUCAACCUUCUUGAGGUGACUCGGGCAUUGGAAUUUCAUAUGGCACGGUUUGCCACACUCAUGGAAAAUGAGGUGAUCUUUGGGAGCUUUGCCUCUUCUGGUUGAAUCACUUGCCUCUUUCUUUUGAAAGCGCUUAAACACUCCUUUCUUCUUCAGAAAUUUGCCAAACUUUCUAAGUAGGAGAAUUAAGGUUCAUCAUAUAAUUCAGACCUAGGAUCAUCAUUGUCUCUCUCUUCUUGUGGUUGUGAUGAUGUAACUUUUACAGAGAUCCCCUUUUUCUUUCAGUUUGAAUCUUCAUGCAUUGUUAAGCGUCCUAACUCCAUUUCGUGUUCUUGGAGUUUGCCAAAGAGAGUUUCUAGAGGCAUUGUGUCUAAGUCUUUCGACUCCAUAAUUGCUAUUACCUUGGGCUGCCAUUUCCUAUCAAGACAACACAACACUUUGUUAGUAACUUCACCAAUAGAAAAACUCUUAUCUAAAGCAAUUAAAUGAUUAACAAUAUGAGUGAAUAUUUUGUUUAUUUCAUUAAUCAAUUCAUUUGGAAACAUACGAAACAGCUCAUAUUCAUGUGUUAAUGCAUUCAAUCUUGCACGCUUAACCUCACUUGUGCCUUCGUGGGUUACUUGCAAAGUAUCCCACAUCUCUUUUGAAUUUAGGCACUAUGACACCCGAAAGAAUUUAUUGUAUGAUAAGGCAGAGGUUAUUAUGUUCUUUUCCUUGAGAUUGUGCUGGACUUUACGUCUUUCCUCGUCAGUCCAUAAUCCUUUUGGUUUUUCUUUGAGCUCACCAUCUACUAAGUGAAGUGGAGUAAAAGGCCCAUUGACAACGGAGUCCCAAAUCUCUGUGUCUAUUGCCUCAAUAGAGAUUCGCAUGCGCACCUUCCAGUAGGCAUACCCCUCGCCACUGAAGAAAUGAGGGCGGUUGAUGGAUGUGUCAUCACCGCCGAAAGAUUUAGUGGAACCCAUAUUGAUUAAUCCAUUGGAUCAAUGAAUUUAGCGACCAAGCUAGUACCUUCGUACUAGCUCUGAUACCACUUUUAGGGUACUAGUGAGGUAAGAAUACACCUAGAGGGGGGUGAAUAGGUGUACCGGACCACUACUCACGCUUUUCCGAAAUUUGCGCAUAAUAUAAAGCUACUACAGUUAAUUGAUUAUCAAUAGGGUUAAUCGAUUAAGGACAGUUCUAUUAACAGAUUAAGAACAGUUCUGUUAAUCGAUUAUGGUUAGUACGUUAAUCGAUUAUACUGAUUGUUUACUCUUUGAAAGAUAGUUUCUUGCUUUGAUAAACAGUGAUGAAUCUAGAUCAUUACUAUCUUAAUAUUGAUUUGUGAUUAUCAACAAAUUAACAACAAUUAGAAAUUAAUCACAAAAUGCAAAUUAACUCAGAAAGUAAGUAAAGACAUAAAUGUAAAGAGAUAGGGAAAGAGAAAAUGUGCUCGAGGGUUUUAUCCUGCUUCGUUUGCGAGUCGACUUGCAAACUACAUCCAAGCCUCCCAGUUGAUCUGGUAUAUUUUUCUUCACUAUCAAAAAUGUAAUUCAAUUACAAAUACACUUUCAAUGGUCUUAGCAGAGACUUCUUUCUUGAAACCAUUGAGCCACCAAGCUCGGUUUGACCUCUAUCUAUGCCUACUUGGAUGCCACAUCGUUCGCGCAAUUUGGCCCCAGCUGAAACUUUCGCUCGAAUCAAGACUCCCUACCUUGUGAAGACUAGUGAUUCUCAACUUGUGAUGAUACCACACACCACUAGAAUUAUCCUCAAUUUACAGAAUUUUUCCGAGUUACUUUGCACACAAGAUUGUGCGGAUAUAGAUACUAAAAUCGGCUCUCUAUAACCCUUGACAGAAGAUCUCACAAACAGCCCUAAUAACUAGAAGUAGAAAUCAUGCAAGGUAUUUCAAGUGAAUGCAAGUGUUUGGCACAAUGAAAAGACUCUCUCUCUCUCUUUUCACUCUUGAAAAUGUAUGUUAGAAAAACUUCAGAGAAUCAACAAGAUAGCUUCGCAAACUUAAGCACAAUGAAUCUUUGUUUUUAUUUUCUUUCAGUUCUAUUUCGUUGUUUUUCUGAAAGUGUGAAGAGCUUAUUUUAAAACCUAAUUUGAUUAUGUUUCAAAAUAACAGAUUUUGUUCAUAACUAACUCAACUAAUAUUAAUCAAUUAAAUGUCAAUUUAAUUGAUUAACGUGUUUCUUGAAAAUAGAUUUUCAGUUAUAGCUUAAUCUAUUAGAAACUUGCUUAAUUGAUUAAUAAGUAGAAAUUUUGGGAGGUUAGCUUCUGUAACUCCAUUUAAUUGAUUACGUCUUUCCUUAGUCGAUUAACGUAUUUCACCAGGACUUAAUCAAUUACCAAAUGGGUUAACCGAUUAAUAUUGUUUUAAAGACGGUUUUUCUAACUAUAUGGUCAACACCCUAUAUGAUGAAUGAACAUGCAACAUGAUUUUAGAAAUGAUUAAACCUUUUAUGCAGAAAGCCAUGUAUGCUUAAUGCAAAUGCAUGAAUGUUACUUAUCAUAUAUAUGUAUGUAGAUGUUAUGCCUCAUCUAUAUGAUUUUCAUUUUAGACUUUUUGUAAGACACUUCCAUCUUGGGUUUACCUAACCUAAGACUCAAUACUAGGCAAGCAUCUUAGGACUCUAGAAUAUAAAAAGCAAUCCUAAGUUCUAUGAUGUUGACCUUGAGUUCUUGGUAUGUUGUUUGUUGAGAUGUCCAAGUCUUCAAGCUUCCAUAUAAGACUUUGUCUUCAUCAAAACUUCGUAGGUUGGUUAUAAUGACAUCCUUUGACUAUUUGCCAUUUCAAUUAUUUCUAGACUCAAAUGAUUUUUGAAAACAUUAUCAAGUUAUGUGUUAUACUUUUUGAUUAAUUUUGAACAUCAUUUCUAAAUCCCCCAUCUAGUGUCCUAGUAUGAUAAGAUGAUUUUCGAACCUUGCAUAAUACACUAAACAAUAGUUAAUGGCCACUGGUUGGAGAAGGUUGUUACACCCUACUUCAGGAUUGUUAACCUUGUUUAGCCUUGAAUACAAGUUGCUUUCAAUUGGCAAGUAAACUAAGACUUAUUAGUUCACUUGUCAAUACUUUAAGAAGAGGCAUUUUGGAUCUUUAAAUCAAACUUUAGGUGAUCAAGCUAAAACCGCAUUAAGAACUUCUUAAAGAAUCAAAAUUUAACCAAAAGUAAUAACUUGAAUGUAUUGAAAUCAAAAUAUGAUACAAAUGAAGAAAAGAAAUAACAUUACACCAUAAUCCAAAUCAAUGUGUAGGAGCAUUAGCCAUCUAUCCAUUGAUGAGAUGCUUUUGGACCCAAAUGAGAUUACAAAAUUAUUAUUUUUUGUAUCACAUUUGUAAUCUCCUUUCUCCUCUUGAAUUCUAAAUAAAAUUACAAAACUUUACCUAGAAACUAGCUUAGAACCGUGACCAGAAAUGUCUUGAGAGAAGAAGUGAAGAAUGGAGUCUUGACAGUGUUUAGAAUUGUGGAAGAAGAAUGUUUAUCAAUGAUGUUGAAGAGGGCCUCUAUUUAUAGACAAUCCGUAACUGCCUAGCCCUCUCUUUGUCCAUGUGGGCAUAAAUACUGGAUGAUUUAAGCAGAAUUAAUGUGCAUGUAAAUUUUGCCAGCAUGCUUGUUGUUGACUCACCAAAGCUAGUUGUGAGCUACUUGACCAUGCCAUUGUGGGCUAUUUUCAAAAUUUCUCAGAGGCCUUGUCAAGUGUGAUCAUGCAUGAUGUCAUAGUUUCUUGGUGGCUAAGUAAAGUUGACCCAUUUGUUGGGUCCAGCCCGUUCGGCUACUUAGGUGGCCCGUUGAGUUGCCUGCUUGAGCAUCUUGUUCUACUCUAGCCAGGUGUGUGGUUCCAGCUAGGUAGUCCCUAGGUGCACAUUGAGCUGCUUACUUCAGCAGGUUGGCUUAUGUUAGGCUUGAAUCUGGCCGUGUAAAGCUUGUGCUUGACCGAGCCAAGUUGGUGUCAGGUCAGCUGGGCAAUGCUGAGUGUCCAUGCCAAGCUUCUUAGUGUCUAGCUUUUUAGUCCAUGCUUGUGGUCAAGCACUUAGCUUGCCAUGUGUGCAUCAAAAGUGGCUUAUGUGGACACCUCCUUGCUUGAAUAUUUUUAUUGAUUCUUUUUCUUCUCUUGAUUUUUCCUAGAAAACUUUACACAAAGAUUUGGAAAAGAGGAGGACAAAAUAUAUAAUCAAAGUAUGACAAUUUAUCUAAAAAGUCUUCAAUUAAGUUGCUUUUGCAUGAUUUCCAUAGGAUAAGUGCCAUGAAAAGUGUAUGAAAAUUAGGUAUUUUUUGCACUUAUCAAUAAGUUCAUUACUUGAGAAAUAUAUGUAUGCACCGACAUUGUAUGAGUUUGGUACACUGUCACUAUAUCAUCCACCUUUCAUAUUUCAUCAUCAUUGACUUUUCAUAAAAAUUAAUUCAAGUGAAUGGUGGAUGAUAUAAUGACAAUGCAUAAAUCUUUACACUGACAAUGCACAAAUAUUUUACUCUUAUUAGUUAUUACAUAAGGCAACAUGUUCCUGCAUGUCAAAUUCAAUAUUUCUUCCUCUAGGCUUUAUUCUCAAGUACAGGUUCUGUAGCAUUAUAUAUGUCUUCAAUAUCACGAUACCUGAUCUUGUUACCAUAGGCUAUAUCUUAUUCUUCUUCAUCAUCAUCUCUAGUAGUAGUAGCUGCAAUGGAUGAUUUUGCAUCAUCAUGAAUAUCAGCUUUGUUGUUGCUACCAGUAGUGUUGUUGCUGAUGCUAAGUUGAAUGAGAAGCUUCGCUACUUUAAUCUCUGAUUCAGAGAACAUAACAUGAUUCUUAGUCCUCAUAUGUUCACAUGAUUUAGUCAUGAUCUCUUGAGUGAAAGAUGGUGAAUAAUAAGAACUGAUGCAAAGAUAUAAUGAUAUGCUAUGUUUUUAUAGUGUUCAAAACAGUGUGGCUUGGUGGCCAUGAACCUUUAUUUUCUUAUUUUAUUCCUAUGUUAAUUUUGAGUAUAAUAUAUAUGCAGUGAUAAUGUAAAAAUUAGUACCUUAUCCAAUUUGUAAUACUUUUAUUUGUAGUGUUUUUUUUUUAUUUAAUGAUUUCCAUUUUGAGUAUAUGGUAAGCUUAUUAUAAUUUUUUUGGGUAAUUGCAGUUAUAUAUAACUAGUAUGGUGAUAGACAUUUCAUGUUUACUGCAUGACCCAUAUUAUUACUUUAUGAUGUCAAAUGUUCAAGUUUUACAUAUUUUAUUUUGAAGAAUUAGAAUAUAUAUUUUUUUCAUUGAAUAUAUUUUAUAUUCUAUUUUUAUAAUAUUUUUUUAUAUUCUUUCUUUUUUAUUGUAACGUUUGACUAAUGGUAAGAGAGUUUGCUAAUAUGUUGAUGGUGACUAUAUAUGAUUAUAUGGUUUUUUGUAGAAAUUUAAAAAUGUUAAGAGAAAAAUAGGAAAGUAAAAUUAUAUCAUGGUGGUAAUUAAACCAUAAUUUACCUUUAUAUAUGGUAUAGAUAUAAUAAAGAUAAUCCAUAUUCUUGUAUGUAAACAUGUUUUUUCUAUUACCUUCCUUAUGAAUUCCAAAGGUAUUAACUUUUAUCUAACGAUAUAUACCACAUACAUAAUAUUCGUACCUUAUAUUCGGGGUUCAAGACUCGACUCAUUAAAUGAUGAAUUUGGUUUAUGAAUCAAAUGAGUUUAAAUUGAAAAAAAAAUUGAUUUUUUUAAAUAAAUAGACCAAACUUGAACAAAGUAUGAUUCAACUUGUUAUAUUAUCUAUACUAACUCAAUUGAAUGUAUAUAUAUAUGAAAUAUUGUAUGAUUAUUAUAUAUAUGUUUUCUAUAUUAAUAUAUGAGUGUAAUAUAUAUAUUUUUGGUACUAUCAAGUAUAUUUCAUAACAUUUUUUAGUAAGUCACUAAUCCAUUUGUGGGUGAAUAGUUGUUUCUCCCAACAUGUGUCGUUAACAUGAAUUGUUGACCUUACAUGUAAUAUGUAUUAAUACUACAAAAUUAAGUUUCACUUUUUGAAUCAUUAUUUCAGUUGUAUAUAUUUAAACUUAGGUGCAGUCCAACCUGCAAACUAAUAUUUAGUUCGCUUUGAAGCGAACUCAUUUUAUAGUCGUUAGAUGAAAAAUUAUUUAAUCUGUACUGUCGAAACAAUGACCGACAACUUGUUCCACACAAAAGUCGGUUUGGGAGAAGACAACUUCAACAUGCACAAAAGUCGGUUUGGGGGAUAACGACUUUAGUGUAGAAGUCGGUCAGGGCAAUAACAACAUCAAGUCGUCGUGCAAAUUGAACAUGACUUCAGUAUAGUUCAUUUGGUUUACUCAUCUUCUUACAUAGUGCAACCCGGUGUUUGAGUUCUUCCACCCUCAUUUUUAAUUUUUUAUUUUAUUUUUUUUCAUUUUGAAAGAAAUUUAUAUCUUUAUUAUAAAAUUUAUUGUUAGUAAGGGAGUUGUAGAAUUUUGGGGCCUCUUUGAAGCAUUGGGCAGUGGCAUGAGAGUAGAAGAGAAGGUAGAGAGAAAUGAGGAAAACAGGAGUGGCCAUGGAUGGCAUGAACAUGUGUGGUGAAAUUAAAUACAACAAGAGUCCAAGGUUUGAUUAAAAAUCAAAUUGAGGGAAGAUUGAAAAUAUAAGCGAGAGAGAAAGAGAAAGAGUGGGGCAGGUUGUUGUGUGAGAGAGGUGAGUUCAAGACAUCUAUGAUCUCUUCAAAAACAGUACAAAUCCCUAUUCCUGACAAUGAAAUUAUAUAAUAAAGUUAUAUACUUCUCUUUUAAAAUGGAAAAAUAAUUAAAAAUGAAGGUGGUAGGACUUGAACACAAGGCUUCACUAUGUAGUAAGACGAGUAAACCAAAUGAAUUAUACUAAAAUCAUGUUCAGUUUGCACGACGUCUUUAUAUUGUUAUUGCCCAGACCGACUUCUAUAUUGAAGCCAUUAUCCCCAAACCGAGUUCUAUGCAUGUUGAAGUUGUCUUCUCCCAAGCUGACUUCUAUGUUGAACAAGUUGUCGGUCAAUGUUUCGACGACACAAAUUAAAACACUAUUCAUCCAACAGCUAUAAAAUGAGUUCGCUUCGUAACGAACUAAAUAUUAGUUUGCAUGUUAGACCGCUAUUGAAAGAUUUUUCUUAGAGGGUUUUCCCCCUCAACAAAUUGUCCCCGGUAGCGGCGCCAAUUUGUUGAAAGCGAAAAUUUCUCUUCUUCAGUGUGUUUCCUUUAUUUGGUUAAGUAAGUGAACUCGAUUUUAUUCUUUGUGUGCCAUCUCGGCUUUGUUGAAAUAAAUUCUAACGCCAGUAUAACAAACUUCUUCCUUAAGGAAGGUUGGUAUUAAAGAAUAAAUAAAUUGCGGAAUGUAAAUAACAAUAAAUAAAAGUUAGUUAGUUAGCUUCAUCACUUUUGUAUAUUAAAAGGUGUUUCAACAAAUAAAUUUAUUGAUAACACUUUACUAUUUUACAAUUUACACCUCUUUCAAGAUUCAAUUGUAGUAUAGUAUAGGGUUAUGUCGAACCACAAGAAAUAGCCUAAUAGAAUGAAUCAUAAGAAUAUGUCAAUGCACAAAUAAUGAGUGAAAAUAUUUUGGUUGGUUUUGAUUUGAUUUGAUAUGCUCAUAAACACUUAACAAGAAACAUAAACUAAGUAUUAAUUUUUUUUGAGGAAACAAGAUCAUUUUGAAUGAUGAAAGUAUUUCUCAACUUCUUAUGUAUUUGAACUACUUAGACAGGUUCNNNNNNNNNNNNNNNNNNNNNNNNNNNNNNNNNNNNNNNNNNNNNNNNNNNNNNNNNNNNNNNNNNNNNNNNNNNNNNNNNNNNNNNNNNNNNNNNNNNNGCUACUCUAAUAUUGAAGUAGUAAUGAAUAUAAGACUUUAGAAAAGCAUGCUUAACUUGGAAAAUAAACUAAGUAGUACAACUACUUCUUAGUUUAUUUGUUCAGUGUUUGAGACAAGUAAUUUUCCAUGACUUGAAAUCGGUUUUUAGGUGAUCAAUCUAAAGAGAGUAUUAAGAACUUCUUAAACAUGUAAAAUUAACCAAAGCACCAACUUGAAUGAUUAAAAUUCAAAUUUAGAAUAAAAGAAGAAGAAGAAAUACAUAAUCAACUUUCAAAUGAAAUUGUUAGGAGCAUGAGCCAUCCAUCCAAGGAUUGGAUGCUUUAAGUUCCAAAUGAGAUUACAAAAUGGAUUUUUGCAUCUCAUUUACCUUCUCCUUCUCCUCUUGAAUUAUAAACUAAAAACUAUAAAACUUACUUAAAAAUAACUUCUAGGAACUAAGAAAUAAGAAGAGAGAAUUAUGUUUCUACUUCAGGGAAGAAUUCUUGGCAAGAAUAUUUUUAAGGGAUGAUCAUUGAAUGAAGGAAAUGCCUCCCUAUUUAUAGAUUUUUCCCUGUCAUCGUUGAGCUGCUUGUUUGCACCGCUCAACAGCUGACCAAACCCUUCAGCAUGGGUUUGGUCACUUGGUCAAGUAACUUGGUCACCUCCUUAAGUUUGACUCACCAAAGCUAGUUGUGAGUUGUGGGACCAGCUAUGGUGAGCUACUCCUGAAAAGCCUAUGGUGGGCUACUUGAAGUGAGGUCAUGCAUGACUUCAUGGUCUCUUGAUGGCUAAGUAGUUCUGGGUGCACACCAUUGAGCACACAUGUGAAGGGGUGUUCAAAUCCAGACCGGUCCAAUAAUAAAACCGAAAACCGAUCCAAAAUAGACCGAAACCGCAAAAACCGAAUGCAUUUGGACCGUGUUGGAUUUAUUUUUUAUAGACCGAUUGGUCCGGUCUGGAUUUUGGUUUCACCUCUUGGAUCCAGACCGAUCCAGACCGGACCGAAAUUGUAUGUAAAGUUUAAGUGUGUAAUACUUUUAAGUGUCUUCAAAACUUAAUCUUAAGUCCCAACUCCAAAAUUGUACCUAUAUUUUAUUUGUUAUAUUCUAUAACACACUUAUAUAUAUGUUGCUAUGUUUUAAAUCAUAUUGAUUAUAUUUUAUACACUUUUUUAGAACUUAAACCAAUCUCAUAACCAAAUAAAGAGGAUUCAAGUAUUAUUGUUGUGAAAGUAUUAUGAGAAUGGAGUAUCUCCUGGUAUAAGGAGAUAAAUUAUCUCCUCCUGCCACUGAAAUCACGACAUGUGUCAUGUUUCAUCAUUUUCUAUAAAUUUAUUUUUAAAAAUAAACAAAAUAGCACACAUGUCACAUUUUUACUGGCUAGAGGAGAUAAGUUAUCUCAUGAUAUGAGGAUAUACAUUAUUCUCAAGUAUUAUUGUUAUUAAUCAUCAGUGGAAUAUUGUAACUAUUAAAAUUACGUUACCGAUGCUCAUAUUAUUAUUAUUGAUAUCUUGUUGUUUUGUUGUCUUGUUAUUAUUAAUAUCUUGUUGUUGUUACUAUUUUAUACUUUUAUUAUUAUUGUAUUAUUGUUUAUUACUACUUUAUGAUGGUGUUUACUUAUACUAUUGUUGUACACAUUUUAAUAUUGUUGAACACUAUUUUUAUUGUUGUUUUAUGCUUAAUAUUUAGUCAUUUUUACGAGUUUUGAAUAUAAGUACAAUUUUAAUAUUUUAUAAAAAAAACCGAUCCAAACCGAACUGAAACCGCAUAUUAUAUUUGGAUCGGAUUGGAUCGGACAUCUUAAUAUAAAAAGACCAGACCGAUCCAGACUUGAGGUCAUGCAUGACUUCAUGGUCUCUUGAUGGCUAAGUAGUUCUGGGUGCACACUAUUGAGCACACAUGUGACACCGCUAAGUUGCCUGCUUGAGCAGCUUUGACCAUGCUGAUUGAGACGUGGCUAUAAGUAUCAGUGGCCUAGGAACACCUAGAAGGGUGGAAAUAGGUGUGGUGGAGCUCAAGUUCCACUUUUCAGGUUUUUACACAAUUGCUGAAAAAUGCUCAGUUAAUCGAUUAACCAGUGGGCUUAAUCGAUUAAAUCUAACUAGAACCAGACUAAUGAGAACAUCAACUUGCACGAUUAUUAACAAACACACAAACAGAUAUACAACCGAUACUUUUGUGCAAAAUUAACAAGAACAUAGCAAGGAACAAGUAUGAAAAAUAUUAGCUCCAAACACGCAUUAAAACAUUUUUAUAUAAAAAAGAGAAAAGGAUAGAAAAGAUUGCGCAGGGAUUUUAUCCUGGUUCGUUUUUCUGUCCACUACAAAACUACAUCCAGUCCACCCCUCUGAUUUGGGAGAUUUUUCUUCUUCACUAUGAAACACAAUGUACGUUAUUUACACGCUUCCAAAUUCAAAAAUUGAACGCUCCCUUCUUGGAACCCAAAGAACUUUAAUGCUCCCUUCUUGGAACCCAUUGAACUUCAGCACCCUUGGUUAGACCUUUCCCAAAACCGCCUCCCAAGAAAACAUUUCUUACGCGAUUCAGCCCCAGCCAAGGUAUCGCUCUUUAUCCCAAGACCUCCAAGUCUUUGUGUGAAGAACACCUUACCUAACCGCAGCUAGGAUUUUCCCAAUCCUUGAAUAACAAUGCUUUGAGUUAUGGAUGAGUACUUAAUACUCGGAUAUUACAAUAAAGAUCAAAGCCUAAAAACCUAAGCAAGAACUCACAAGACGUCCUAUUCUAAUAUGAAUGUUCAUGCAUGAGGUUUCUAAAAAUGUGCAAUCUUUAAAGAACUAUCUUUUUCUUUUCAAGAAACACAAGAAUGAUGCAAGAAAGCUUUUCAAAGAAUCAUGCAAUAUGAAUAUGAAAACUAAAGCCUUAGCUUGAUCUAAUCUUUCUCCUAAUUCAACACUCUCUAAUAGAUUCUAAUAAUGAUGAUCUAUCUCUUUUCUCUGUGUUAUUCUCCCUUUCUCAUCAUCGUCGNNNNNNNNNNNNNNNNNNNNNNNNNNNNNNNNNNNNNNNNNNNNNNNNNNNNNNNNNNNNNNNNNNNNNNNNNNNNNNNNNNNNNNNNNNNNNNNNNNNNAUUACUUUAUUAAGUCUUGUGAGACUCACAACUAGGUUUACCUAACCUAGACUCAAUAUCUAUGGCAAGCAUCUUAGACUUCUAAAAAGAUCAUAAAGAAUUAUAACAUAAGUCUAAUAAGACACCACUUCAGCCCUCGCCAUGUUGAUUGUUGAGCCAUCUUCAAGCUUUAACUAAUUCAUUGUUUUCAUCAAAACAUAGGCAAACGUUGCUAAUGCAAUCCUUGACGCUUUGCACUCUCAUAGACUUCUUUUACUCUGAUUUGAUGAGUUAGCUUGAUGAUGUUGUACAUUUUCGUAAUGGUUGUGACUUCAAAGUUGAAAGCACUUUGCUCCCCCUUGGGUAAGCAAUGAUUAAUAAUACGCGGAAGUUAUUAUGACAACCUUUCUCCCUUUGCACAUAACAUCAAACACAACAAGCUUUCUCCCCCUUUUGACAUUAUCAAAAAGAUACGAAUAUUCAAUUCUAGUCAAAAGUAAGAAGAGAUAUAGCAAUUUAUUUAAAAAAAACUGUAAUUAUUAUCAUAGGCAAUAACCAGUUUUGAGAAGCUUAAACAAAUGCAUUAAUUUUUUACUCUUUAGACAGAUUUUGCAUGACAUAUGCAUUAUGUAAACAAUUUAGACAUGGAAUGAUUAAACAUAUAUGUAUGCCACUUGUUAGUACCACUUGUUAGAUGCCAUUAUAACCACUUGUUAGCACUUUGUUAGGCAAUAUUCAUUUUAAAGCAUAUUUCAAUAAUUCAAUUAUAAUACACAAUUAAGACAUGUUCAAGAUUCACGCAAAAACAAUUUCUAUCUGACAUAAUUAGCAAGGUUCAACAUAGUUACAGAAUUCUAAAAGAUGGUACAACCAUAACCAUGAGAUGUACUUGACUCAAAAAUAUAGAUGUAAGCCACAAAACAACAAGAAUUAACUUUAAAAAAUUUUGAGCCCAGGUAAUCGAUUAUCACAAAAGUUAAUCGAUUAAGAUGAUUAUUUUAGAAAGCUUUAGCUACUUGAACUCAUUUAAUCGAUUAUACUGAGGGUCUAAUCGAUUAACGACAGAAAGUUGACAGUUUUAAGAACAGUUUUUGAGCUUAAUAAGAAAUAAUUUUGUAACCUUGUUAAUUACCUUACUUACCCUUUGGUGAUAGGUCAAGAUUGCCACUUGUUUGAUGAAAAUUUUGAUGAUAUGAUCAAAGUUGUAUAUUUGACAAUCAAAGUGCGUUGCUCCCCCUUUUAUUGUUCUUCCCUUUAUCUUAUCCCCCUUUAUUACUUAGAGAAGUGCUCUUGGUAGGUAGCAUAUAUCUGACCGUGCCAAGCUUAUGUUCUGACCGUAUCAGGCUUUGUCUAGUGCUAGGUUGAGCGGGCAAGCAGGUCCACUAAGAUGCCUGCUUGAGCAACUUGGUCUGUGCCCGGUUGGUUUGACUGCGCCAGGUUGGGUAUGACCGUGCCAAGCUAGUGUACAGGUCAGCUCAGCGUAGCUUGGUCCAUGCUAAGCUACCUACUUGAGCACAUUGAGUUUGACUUCUUUUUCUUCUUGGACCAUGAGUCUUUAUUCUCUUUUCUUUAUCUUUCUAAAUCCUACUAAACACAUUAAAGAGAAAUACAAACACAAAUAUACAACAUUGUGAUAUUUUAUCCAAAGAGUAUAGUUUUUAAGUUGGUUUUUCUCAAUUAUGCUUAAGAUAAGUGCCAUAAAAGUGUAUGAAAUUUAGGUAUGUUUGGCACUUAUCAACCACACCUUAAACUUAUUAAAUCCUUGGAAAGUUUGUAGUCUCUAAUCAACUCAAAAUGGAGUUGAAAAAAUAGUUGACAAUAAACUACAUUUGAAACUCCACUUAAGGAGUGGCUUUCCGAAAUAUAAUUUUUCAUGAACAUGUUUAUUCAAACUAAUUAAACAUGUUAAUGCGUAAUUAUACUUUAUUUUAUAAACUGCUUCAACGAGUAUUUGACUCCAAUAAAAUAAGACAUUAUUGUGAUGUACAUUAAUGAAAUGUUUUAAAUUUUAGUUGUAAUUGUGUUGUGAUUUCAAGCACCAUUGUGGACAUUGCAAACAUCUAAUUACAAAUUGAUAUUAUUGUGGUGUAAAAUUUGAUAUAAUUAAAAAAUAUAUUUCAAUUUAAUGUGGCCCUAAUUAAUAUAGUCUAAAGCGACCUAAAUGUAAUAUAAUGUAGUUAUAUUAUUUCCCAAUGUGAUUUUAUCAUUGUGAUUCAAUAUUAUAUUACAAUUGUGGAGUGAUAUGAUUAUUGAUAUAUUAUUAUUGUAAUAUUAAAGACACAUCAAGGGAUAUAAUUCACAAUUUAUUAAACUACAACAAUAUGUUAUUUGUGAAUAGUGGAGAAAUUAGACUAAAUUUGUAUCUAUAAAAACAAAUAUAUAUAUGUAUAUAUUUUGGUGUAACUCAUGAUAUCAUGAUUGACAAACUUAACACGGCUAUAUACUAGCUAUUAAAACAAUAAAUUAUUUAAAUAUAUAUAUAUAUAUAUAUUAUAGAAAUAAAUAUUAUUUUUGUAUAUAAUUAGAAAAGGAAUGUUAAAUCAAUUAUUAAAAUAUUUAAUUGUACCAUACUAGGGUGUCAAAAACAAUUGUGUCUACUAAUAUCCGUAAAAUAUUCACAAUAAAUACCUACAAUAAUAGUUUAUGGGCGAGGAAAACAAAAAUUAUCAUAUCUAUAAAUUUAUUUUUUAUUAAAUAUUAUAUAGUAUAAAUUAUAUUUCUUAUUACUAGAUUAUAUAUAUUAUCUAUUUACUAUUAUUUCAUAAAGAAUUUAAUGAGUGGACUAUAGUAGCAAAUUUAUCAUAAACAUAUAUUAUUAUGGAUGAAAUAAUCAUUUUUAUACAUAUUAUUAUUAUAAAAUAUAUAAUUAUAUAAUUAAAUUUGAAAACACAUUAAGUAUUCACAAAUAGGUAUAUGAGCACAAAUAAUUACUACUAGUGCACACCCUUUUCAAUUGUUAUCCCUAUAUUUUAACAACCAUGCCCCUUCUAUUUUUGUAAAAAUAAUUAUCUAAUUUAAAAAUUGUAUAUAUUAUUUUAAAGUACAUAUCUAUAAUAAUGAUUUUUUUAGUGAUAUAUAAUUACGAGUUUCUAAUUUAAUAAAAAAUUAUUUGGAAUAUAUUUUUAUUCACUUUUCCAUAAUCAAUAACUUAAUUUCAAACAAUCUUAAUUGUAAUCUCUCCACCAAUACUCGGACAAAUUAUACCUAGGACUUAAAUCAACGAAUCUAUUAUAACUUGAACAUAGAUUUCAUAUUUAAGUUUGAAUAAAAUUGUAUUAAAUACAUUAUAUUCAAAUAAUUAAAAACAUGUUUUGACUGAAAUAGGGAAAUUAGUAUUAAAAGGUGCUCUCUACAUUAAUAUAACAAUUUGAAAUACGAUAUUUUGUCCUUAACUUUUUCGUUACUUAAACCUAAUAAAUUACGCAUAGACAAUGUAAAGGCUCUAAAUCAUAUCAUCAAAAUGCUAUCUAUAAGAAUAAGUUUCAUCUACAAAUUUUAUUAAAAAUAAGUUUUUACGGUAACCUAAUGAAACAUAUAUUAUGCAUUAAAUACUCAAUAUAUGACUUUAUUACAGUUUUUGGUAAAAUCAUUGUCUAAAUAAACACUUUUUUAUGAAAAUAGGUUUUUUAAAAUAGUUUUUCAAAAUUAUCGCUUUCAUAAAUACUUUUCCUCUGUAAUUAAUUCCAUUAAAAAAUUUCAUAAAAACUACACGUACGUCUUACUUAAAUAUAUUUAUAAUUGCUUUCCUUAAACUAUUUUGCACUAAAUUCUUGAAAAAUAAAUGAUGGACGUAUGGUUGAAAAGAUUUAGGGUUCUCAUUUUUUACUCAAUUUUAGAUUUGGGAAAUAUAACCUAAUAAGGAAAGGAUUGUAUACUUCAUUAUGAGUGUGUGAACGUCACAUGUGAAAAACUAAUAAAUAAAUAAAAUUAAAAGAUUGUGUGCAAUUAAAGUAUUAGGUCAAAUAAAUUUUCAAAAUAUUAAAAUCAAGGUAUGAAUGAUAAUUAAUAGAAUUGAGGAAAUAAAAUCCAGAAAAGAAUCAUCAGAGCUUAUCCUAAGAAAUUUCGACCAUGCCACUUUAAAUAGGGGGUAUGGUGCUUAAGAAGAUACUCUCAAUCUUGAAGGACCAUAGGGGAAUGGAUCCUAAAUUAUGAAGGACCAUUUAUAGUGAAAAAAGUAUUCUCUAGAGGAGCAUUGAUAUUGACUACAAUGGACGGAAAUGAUCUACCUCUUUUCGUGAAUUCAGAUGUCGUAAAGAAGUAUUAUGCUUGAGAGACCUUUCAAACAAAGAAAAACAAGUUUGGACAUUGAUCACAAAUUUUUGCAUACUUUUGUGCACUAUUUUGGAGGAUGAUGUAAACAAAUCACAUACGGUGUGUACCUUCACACAGGUGAUGUUGAUGACACGAGGCUUCUUUGUUAUUCCAAGCACUAGUGAAGAUAUCUCUGGUCACCCCUAUUAAGCCGAGACAAAAGGAAAGAAGCUUACAAGAAGGGGGUGGAUUACAAAAAGAGCAUGCUAAGAGUUUCAGUAAAACCUUAGGCAAAAGUCCAGGGCAAAUAAAUAAAAUCUCAAACUAGAAUGGUUACAAAACUUUCCUUUUCCAAAAGGAAUGGAAAUUGUAUCCACGGUUGAAAUGUAGGAGUUGUUGGAAAAAGGAUUAUGGAGAAUAUGUAGAAAGUUGGGGAGGGAAACACAUCAUUUGAGCCUUAUGUCCUUUUCUUUCUUGUAAACCCCUAACCAGACCAUAUUACAAGCCCAAAAAGUCCUUCUUGAGAUUCGAACUGUUUGGGAUACACACCAUGGGUACCAAAUGUCUGACUCCAAAAUAAAUUCAAAAUAUUUUUUCUUAAAAAUUUAUACAUAGCCCGAUCAAUACACAAACACUCUUAAAUAAAUGAAUAAGUCUUGUUAAGUCGAAAACCCAAAGGGAGGUCUAAUCAAAACUUAGGGACAAAAGAAAAAAGAAAAGGAAAGGUCUCUUAAGAGCAUACGGCGGUAAGUCAAUAUUGGGGCAAAUUUUUUGAAGACCAAAAAUUAAGACAAUUUACUGGGGCAAUUUUUUGGCUGGUUAAUGAUUAUAUAGUGGUGAUCUAACGUGUUUUGUUAUUUAUAACCAAUUCCCACCAUUUCACUCAUAACACAAAAAAAAAUCAACCACGUUUGUAUUUCUUUAGUCACAUAUGAAUUAAAGCCUUUUGUUUGCAUAGCUUGUUUUCAUUAAACUUGUACUAUCUUAAGAAUUUUAAACAUGUUGACUUGAUUAAUAUUCGAAAAAAAGAAAAAAGCACUUCGCCGCUGAAAGACAAAGAUUAUCGUCGUCUUCUAGUAUGAACAAACAACAUCUUUAUCCGCAAACGGCAACCUACAACCAAAUGUUGAGGAUGCGAUGGAGCAAUAGCGAUGAAUACAAUUACAACUCAAUCCGAUUUGAAAAUAUUAUAGAAUUAUCAAACACGAGCAUUUCAUAACAUGCAUCAAUAACAAUCAUUUGCAUUCAUAAAAAAAUGAAACGACAAAAACAUUACAUCACAUAUUCAAAUAGCUUGCGUCUCCAAAUUCCGACAAUACACCGACCUGUGUCUUUGGUUUCACGCUUUUCACCCCAUGUUCUGACAGUAUACUGACCUGUGUUCUUAGUCUCUUUCCUAGUGUCAUCCAAAUUCCAGUAGUACAUUGAUCUGCGUCUUUGGUUUCAUCCUUUUCACCCGAAGUUAUGGCAGUACUCUGACAUGCGUUCUUGUUCUUUUUCCUAGUGUCAUCCAAAUUUUGGUAGUAUAUCAACAUGUGUCUUUGGUUUCACCCCAAGUUCCAGCAGUACACCGAACUGCAUUCUUGGUUUUUUUCUAGUGUCAUUCAAAUUCUGGUAGUACAUCGACCUGCGUCUUUGGUUUCAUCCUUUUCACUCCAAGUUCUGAUAGUAUACCGACCUGUGUUCUUGGUCUUCUUCUUAGUGACAUCCAAAUUCCAGCAAUACACUAACAUACGCCUUUGGUUACACCCUUGUCAUCCCAAGUUUUGGCAGUACACCAACAUGUGCUCUUAGUCUCUAUCAUUAUUUAGCCAAAUUCAGCUAGUACAUCGACCUGCGUCUUUGGUUCACUUCCAUCUUUACCAUACCUCUCAAGAGUAAACUCAUACCAUCUUGAAGAUUGCUCAACUCAUAAAAGAAAGAUUGACAUUGCUGAGCACUGAGAUUUAGCCAGUUAGCUUUUUCUGAGCCCUGACAAAAUUAGCAUUCAUUUCUUUACUAGUUACUUAUCAUGGUAUCCCUCAACCCUCGGUUUGCUAGCUAUCAGAUAAGCAACUAGUAAAGAGGGACAAUUGUACAUCCCAUUUUUUUCCGGCCCAUAAAAAGUCCAACAUCGUUUUCAAAAUAAUUACAUUCUAAAAAAAUUAUUAACUUUUUAUGACUUAUUUCAAAAUUAAAUAAUUAAAAUGGAAUAUUCCAAAUACCUCAUUAGAUUUUCAAAUAAACAAUAAAUAUAUAACAUUUCAAAAUAAUUAAAUAUAAAAAUAGGUUUUUUUAAACCUAUGUCAUUUUCAGAUAAAUAUUAAAUAAAAAAACAAGAGAAAGAAUUAAAUUAAAAUAGGCUCCUAAAAACCUAUACCCGUUUUCCCAAAAAAUGAGUAAAGUUUUUUAUUUAUUUUUAUUUUUCGAAUUUUUAUUAUAAUGUAAAUAAAAGAUAAUUAAAAAGUUUUUUUAUUAAUUUUUAUAAUUAAUUUCGAAUUUAUAAAAAAUAAAUAAAAGGCAUGGGAUAUUCCUAGUAUCCCAUUUGAAUUCCAAAUAAACACUAAAAUGAUUUUAAUUUUAGUUUUUCUUCAAAAAUAUAAUUUUAAAAAAUUAAAACUUAUUCAAAUAUAGUUUAUUAUUAUUUUUAUGAUUUGAUAUUUUUAUUUUUCGAAUUUUUAUUAUAAUGUAAAUAAAAGAUAAUUAAAAAGUUUUUUUAUUAAUUUUUAUAAUUAAUGUCGAAUUUAUAAAAAAUAAAUAAAAGGCAUGGGAUAUUCCUAGUAUCCCAUUUGAAUUCCAAAUAAACACUAAAAUGAUUUUAAUUUUAGUUUUUUUUCCAAAAAUAUAAUUUUAAAUAAUUAAAACUUAUUCAAAUAUAGUUUAUUAUUAUUCCUAUGAUUUGAUAUUUUUAUUUUUCGAAUUUUUAUUAUAAUGUAAAUAAAAGAUAAUUAAAAAGUUUUUUUAUUAAUUUUUAUAAUUAAUUUCGAAUUUAUAAAAAAUUAAUAAAACGUAUGGAAUAUUCCUAGUAUCCCAUUUGAAUUCCAAAUAAACACUAAAAUGAUUUUAAUUUUAGUUUUUCUUCAAAAAUAUAAUUUUAAAAAAUUAAAACUUAUUCAAAUAUAGUUUAUUAUUAUUUUUAUGAUUUAAUUGGAAUAUAUAAUAUAUAAACAAAGAAACCAAUUUAAAAUAUCUUUUAUUUAAUGAAAAGAUAAGAAAUAAAUACAAAGUCAUAUCUGACUUGGUGGGAGUUUUAGAGUCCUAGAAAAAAGGGGUGGAUGAUUUUAUCUAAACAUUCAGUUAACCAAAUUUUAGGGAUUUAGUGUCUUUUUUAUUUAGUAUAAAUAGGGGUGUUUAAAAUUAGGUUAGGGGUUCUUUUGGGUUCUGAAAAAAAAACACUUCAUAGAAAAAACUAAGGGUAUGAGGAUUAUUGUUUUGUGCUCUCAUCAUUUUGUUGGAUUGUGAUCAAUCAUCGUGCAUACUAUUUUUUGCCACAUCAUUGACCUUUAGAUAAGCUAAUCUUCAUGUGACACGUCGAUGAGCAUAAGGGUGCUAGUGUGAACGCGUCCGCACCAAAUCGCAGUGCCACACCUAGCAUUUUAUCCCUUGUGGUCGUGAUUAUCGUAGAUGCACUGCACCUACUCUCCCAACCAACCACGAGGCGACAACCAUGCGGGCUCACUUCCUCCUUGUAGACGCAUCCCCAUCUAAUCAAUGUCCUUCUUCAACAUCUGAUUCAGUGUAACAGUGUGCAUCCUAAGCAUAGUACACCCUUCUCGACAGCCAGCCAAGACCUCCCACGUGGCACUAUCCCUGCAACAACAUCUUCCAACCCCUCUUUAAGCAACACGUCGACGCUUACUGUGUUCCUUGUGGCGCACAAUUAAUACCCAUUCAAGAUUGAAAUUCUUCUCUUUAUUCUUACUUCUAAGGCAAUUUAAUUUUUUAGGAAUAAUUACAACCAUAUUUAGUCAAUAAAAAUUAAUUUGUUGGAAAGUGAGCAUAAUAAAUUUUAUUUUUGUGAAUAAAAGUAUUUUUUAUUGGUAAAUAAAAGCAAUAAAUAAAAUAAAUGUUCCUUUAAUAUAGUUAAAAUUGACAACUUUUUAUGGGUUUUUUGUAUCAACAAAUGAAAUGAUUUUUUCUGUAAAUAAAUUUUUUAUCACUUAGAAAAUUCAGAACAUUUUUCUAAUUUAAAUAAUUUUAAUAAAUUGUUUAAUUCAAAAAUAAUUUAAUAUAAUAUUAUUAUUCCUUGUAAAAAAUUUAUAUUUUUUUGGGAUUUAAUCAAAGGAUGUAGGAAGGCCGUGGUAACAUUUGUCAUCCUCAUAUCAUCCUUCAAUUGUCGUGUUACGAUAUUUUUUUUCAUUCGAUUAAUUCCUAAAUUAAUAACAAAAACCAACAAAAUAUAUUUUAAUUAUUUUCAAACCUUUCUAAAAUGGGAUGCAGUACGAACAUUAGUUUAUGUUGCUUCACCUUUAUUAAAGAGUUAUUUAUUUUAUCAAUAGACUAUUUUAAAAUUUAGAACUAUGUAGUCUUGAUUUCCUAAAGCUUUUAGGGAUACGUAGGAGUAAGAUUUAAUCUUGUCAGGUCUAAAAAUAAAACAUAAAUAUUUUGUGUUAGACUAUUUAAUUUUAAAUAAACUAACGACAAUUAAAUCAUACAAUUGACAAGGGUUUCGUUUAAUUAUGGGCGGACGAGGUGCUAAUACCUUCCUCGAUCUGUAAUCGAUUCUCGAACCUGGAUAUCACAAUCCAAAAGCCCAAUAUGAUUGGGCUAAAGGAUUUUUCUACAUUUUUUACCACAAAAUGUAGUGGCCACUCUAAAAUGUUGUGUAGCCAAAAAUCGGGGUGCAACAUGUAAUCAUAUGUUAUUGGAGUAGUAGAGGGAAAUUAACAAUAAUUUAUAUUGUGAGCACUAAGAGAUAGGAAGGGGGAGGGAAUGACACUAUAUCAUCCCGUGAGAAUAGUUGACCAUAUUCUCGUAGAGGAGUGUUGGAUAUUUGUAGUAGUGUGGUAGGGUGUCAUGUACUCUCGAUUAAUUUCAAAAAAGGUUUGAAGAUAAUUAGAUAAGAAUGUAUGUGAUUGACAAGUAUUGUUCAUGACAUAGAUCAAAUUAUACUUAAUGGUAUUCAUCCCCAUAUUUUGAGUGCAAGCAUCAUAUAAAAUGUGUACUUUAUUUGUCACUAAUUGAAUGUAUAAUGAUGGAUGAUGCAGUAACAAUGUCUAUGAUUCUUACACCAUCGAUGCAUACAUUUUUUUUUCUAACUUUUAAGUGUUGUCUUAUAAAAUUUUAAAAUUUAUUUAUCUCAUCUAAACUUAAUGAAGGUUAAUUAAAAAAAUUGUAAUAUAUAUCAACUUACUCCAAGAGUAAGUUUUUUAAACUCACAUCUUAGCCAUCAAUUCUAAGGGAAUCUAAUGGCUUGAAUUAGUGAUAGAUCUAAACUAUUAGAGUUCUUUAGAAUUGAUGGCUAAGAUAUGGAGUAAGUUUAAAAAAUUUAGUCUUGGUGUAAGUGGAUCCACUACAGUAAAACUUCUUGUUAGCCACGGUUGAAACCGUGGCUAAAGUGGAAAAAAACCGUAGCUAGAUUGAGUUACAAAUACUCUCUACAUUCAUUAAACUCAUCCUUUGCAAUGGAGACUUGUAUUUUGUCCCCCUACAAUCACUACAAUAAAACUUUCUGUUAGCCACGGUUGAAACCGUGGCUAAAGUGGGGAAAAGCCGUAGCUAGAUUGAGUGGCCACACUUAAUGUCGUUGUGGCAAGGAAUGGUGUUGCUAAAAAUUAGCCACGGUCAUUAUGUUAUUUCGCUACACUUCUGUGAAAUGUGGUAACAUCUAUUUAGCCACAGUCUGUUUAAUUCAGCUACAGUCGAGCCGUGGCUAAGUUUCUGAUUUUGCCACACCACAACCGUGGCUAAGUUGCUUAUUUUUCCACAAUCCACCCGUGGCUAAUUAAAUUUAUUUAAAGUUACUUUCGUACAUACUUUUAAAUUUAUUUAAAGUUACUUUCUUACAUACUCCUCUCAUGAUCCAAAUGUGUCAUUGUCUCACAAUCUUUAUUUUCAAUAAUAUAAUGGUAAAUUUAUAAUAAAAUUAAAUAUUUGCUAGCUAAUAAUAAUAAAAUUGAAUCUUAUACAAUUACCAAAUGUUUAACAUUCAAAAAUCCUUAUAAAAAACAAAAUGCUAAAUGUUAUGAUCAUAUAAGUUCAUGAAUUCUAAGAAACCAUAUCUAAGAUGGUGGAACAUCACGAGCGAAAGUGGUUAACUCACUACCAAAUUUUUCGACUAGAAACUUCUCAAGAGUAGCCAAACGAUGCCUAAACGUUCCAAAAGCACUGGAGGGACAAAUACCAGUGCCCAAACCAUGCACUCGACCUGAAUGUUCAGCUCCAUAUGCUUUUCCAAUUGCAUCAUUAGGAUGAGCAAAUACCUUUGAUGAAACACCUGAAGUAGUGACAUUUUCUUGAUCUUGAGGUAAAUGCUCUGAUAUUUUAUCCUAUUAAAUAACAAGAAAUUAAUAAUUUAUAUAGUGGCAAAAUGCAAAUUGCAUGGCAGUAACCUAUAAUGGAAAAUUGCAUCAAUAGAAUCAGAAAGGACAAAAUGAUAUUAUGCGUUUGCCUACCUAACUAACUGCAUACCAUUAUCCAUUUCACAACUUAGGAAAUGGUUCUAAAAAUGAUACACUUUUUAGGACAUAUGUAACACAUCAUGUAUGAAAAGACUUUAAAUUACUUACAGCUAGAGUUUUUCCUUCUUCGCUUACAUAGCUUCCGACAAAACAACCUCACCACGACAUACAGGUCUUUGCAAUUUUAGCUCCUAACACAACCAAUGAAAUAUAUAUAUUAAAAUAUAAGUUUUUAUAUUCACAAAACUUCAUUCUCUACAAUAAUACAAUUACAUAGGACAACUUACCAUUUGACGACCUCUCAUUGCAUUGCUCAUACUACCACCAGCAUGGGAAACUUAAACAAGAAACAACAUAAAAAUUUAUUGCAUCUGACAUAAUUAUAUUUAAUACGCUGCAAGUUUUACUGGCUCAAACCAAAGGACAAAGAAUAACAACAGUAGUAAUAGAUAGAGGGUCCCUACAAAUGGGAUUGGGAGCCAAGUGACAUUGAUCAUCAUCAUCCAUUUCUUCUUCUUUGGGCUUGAUCACAUGCUGCUCAAUGUUUUCUUCACUACAACUCCCACUAUAACAACAACCCACCCACUAAAUAUACCUACACAUACAAAUAUGUCCAAAUCAUCAAACACAAGAUUUUCAAAUUAAUGAAAAUAGAAAUAAAAAAACAAAACAAAAAAGGAAUGGGUAAUGUGUAACAGCAAGAGUACCUAGUUUGGUGAUUCAAAUAUUUCCAAACAACUACAAAAUCCCAAGUUUUGGUCUCAAAAAGGGGUCUAAGCCACUCUUUAACAAGUUAUUUAUAAUCAAUAUGUAUAGUUGUAGAGGGACUCUAAUUGCUAUAUUUCCAUUCAAUAUGGAAUAUUAAAACAUGCUUUAAUAUUGUUAAUACUUAACAUAAUACUUAUCAUAGUGUAUCAACUACAACUACUAAGCAACAAUUAAAAGAGGCUAACUCCCAUAAAUGAUAACUAACUAAUAAAAAGUAUAUGGACGAAAGGUACUCCUAGAAUCCUGCAAAUGCAUUUUCUUGAAGCUUCUCCUUCUCUAUCACUUUCAAAAUAGCCAAUCCUGCAACUGUACAAACAGGAUCUCCACCAAAGGUGUUAAAGUAGUUAAUGUUAGUCAACACUUGCAAGUUGCAACAAUAACUCCAUGCAUGACAUUAACAUUCAAAGACUUCUUAUAAUAAGCAUCAAGCUCAUAUGCUCCAGAUCCAUUGGCAUAGUAGUCAGCUAGCUUAAGUGGUGUAUCUAGUGUCAAGUAAGAGGGCAGUGGCUUUGAUGGUGAUGGAGUUGCAUGGGCUAUAACAUCAUAAGUUGGUAUUCAUUAGUUUGAAUAAGAACUGGCUCAAUGGAGUCUAUUCCCAUCAUAACCAGUGAGGACGAAUGACUUCCUUUUUUUCUGAGAUGAGGUUAUAAACAUCAAAACCAGAACAACCUCAUAUUAUUAUCAAAACCAAAUCUCAACAAUUUCAUCUAACCUCCGCUUAAAAAUACUACGGAAUCACAAAAAUAAUAUCAAGUAUAAUACAACACACAUGAAAAUUAUUGCUUAAGCCUAAUAAAAUUUCAAUCUAACUCUUAAAGCAUAGUGACACAAACAUGAACAUAAAAUCCUACAAACAACAUGCUUAUUACCAUACAAAUCCAUUACCCUUACCAAAGCAAACAACAGCUAAAAGGUACUCAUAGAAUCAGCACAAGCACAACUGAUCAUACCUCAAACAAUCUCACAUUCUUAGAUAAACAUCAAAAUCAUACCUCAGACAAUUCCCUCUAACCUCCACCUAAAAAUGCUCAAGAAUAACCAAAGUAGUAUCAAAUAUAAUAUGACAUGUGUGAAAAUUAUUUCCUUAAACAAAGAUUUACAAAAAAAACUCACAUGUUAGGCUUUCUACAUACUUUGGAAAUCGGUAGAAUAUUUAGAAAAAAAAGUGAAAUUAGAGAAUUAUGAUUUAUGAUUAUAGUACAAGAAUCAUGAAAUUAGGGAUUUCUAUUCAAAAUUGAAGUGAAUCAAACCUCAUGAGAAGCUUCAAUUUGAGCUAAUGUUGAAUAACGGUGGAGGAUGAAGCUCAUAUGAGGAAAUAGCUCACAGUGACGGUGAUGACAGAGCUCACAGUGACGACGAUGGUGGAGCUCACAACGAUGGCGAUGAUGCAGCUCACAUCGAUGGCGAUGAUGGAGUUCACAUCGAUGCCGACGAUGGAGUUCACAUCGAUGCCGACGAUGGAGUUCACAUCGAUGGCGAUGAUGGAGCUCGAUGGUGGAGAGAGAAAGAGAAAUGAACUAGGGGGAGGGGGAGAGUGAAUGAGAGAGAAAGAAAAGUGAACAAUGGAGAGUGGGAGGGAGUGCAAGUGAAAAAAAACCAGUUAAAAUAAAAAUUGCUAUAAGUGGGUGUUGAACCUAGUAGCUUAAGUUAAAGGGUUAACAAUCCACUAGGCUAGGAAAAGUAAGUGUACCUAAUUUUCCGUUUUUCUAAUAGUUUAACUACGGUUUUGAAAAACAUAGCAAAUGUAGCGUGGAUAACUUACAUAUUUUUGGUAGUGAUCCCCACUCAAAGAUUUAGACAUAGUCAAUAUAUCAUUCACCAUUCAUUUAUAUUAUUUUUAUUUAAGUAUCAAUGAUAAUUAAAUAUAAAUAAUAGAUGAUAUAAUAAUACUACAAAAUCUCUUACAUUGUCGACGUAUAUAUCUUUUUCUCUUAAAAAAAAGCAAAAUUCAAUAAUCACCUCAAAUGGUCAAGCCUGUUUAAUUUAUUUGAAACUCUAAUCAAUUUGCUCUCCUACACAAGGCACAUGUACUUUUUUUUUAUAUUCUAUGAAAAAAGAUUUAGACAUCCAAACAAGGUAACAAUAUAUAGUGUCAAUGUGCUUUUUAUGCAUUUUUAAAUACGUGAAUUUUACUUCAACAAAGAAAAGUAAGAGAAAAUAUAAAUAUAAAUAUAUACCAACUUCAAAUAAAAUAACUCUUCUUAUACACCUUAUAAUAUGGGUCAAUUUUAAUGUGAUGUGAUUUGAAAGCGUUUAACAUCAUACACAAGAUGUCUUAGAAUUUGGUAUCACUGAUCUCAAAUGCAGUUUAGUCUCUAAGGAACCCUGCCCUCUAGAAUUAUAUUAAGAAAAUUGUUCCAUCCUAGUCAAACCAGACAUAUCACCUGACCAGGAUGGGACCGACCCGGCUAAAUCAGAUGGUGUGUCUUCGGUGAUUUUAAUGUCAUGCGGAGUGUUUAGAGAGGAACGGGGUUUGUGGUUCAUUCUGUAGAAAAAGGCUGGAUUGUUUAACGCUUGGAUUUGUGAGAUGAAGAUAUUUAAUCUACCUUUUAUAGGGAGGAGCUUCACGUGGUAUUACUCUGGUAAUGGCUCCAUGAGCAGGUUGGAUAGAUUGGCCAAAUUGUGCCUUUUGAACAAUGAAUAGAGAUUUCUCUGACCAUUGCCCUAUAAUAAUAAUUCAAAAUUAAUCUAAUAAAUCAUCCCAUAUGAUUCUAUAGUCAUAAUGUUUUGCCUUUAUAUAUACAAAAUUUUGAGCUUUCUCUUUAAUCAAAAUACCAAGUAUGGAACUAGUAAAAAGCAAUGAAAGAUUAUGAUCAUUAACUCAAUUAUUAAAUAUAAAAUAUGGAGAAAAGGAUGAUGAGCUUGAGAGUAUAGUAGUGAAUAGAUAAGGGUAUACUUACCAUUGAUUUAAUUAAAAUUAGAUAUUAUAACUUUUAUUUUAUAGAUAUAUAGAUAAAAGAUGAAAACAUCCAUCCCAAAAGAAAAUUAGACAAGAAAGACACACUACUUGGUGUAUACAUCUUAUACUCGUCCAUUUUACACAUUAUAGAAUAAUAACUUCGAUGGUAUAAGUUUAUUAGUUGAGAAAAUAUGUAUGCACAUAUAUUGCUAUGACUUUGAUAUACAGACACUGCAUUAUCCACUAUUGAUAUUUCAUUAUCAUUGUUUUCUAAAAAAAGGUAAUUCAAAUGAAUGGUGGAUGAUGUAGUAAAUCUCUUUACACCGACAAUGUAUACAUAUUACCAUCUUAUUAGUUAUCACAUAAGGCAAUAUGUUCCUACAUCUCAAAUUCAAUAUUUCACCCUCUUGGCUUUAUUCUUAGGUAGAGGUUCUAUAGCAUUAUAUAUAACUUCAAUAUCGCGGUACCUAAUCUUACUAUCGUAGGCUAUAUCUUCUUCUUCUUUAUCAUCAUCAUUAUUAUCAUCGUCGUCAUCAUCAUCGUCAUUAUCAUCGUCAUCAUCAUUGUCAUCAUCAUCAUCUCUAGUCGUAAUAGUUGCAAUGGAUGAUUCUGCAUCAUCAUCAGCUUUGUUGUGGCUACAAGUAUUAUUGUUGCUGAUGCUAAGUUGAAUGAGAAGCUUUGCUACUUCGAUCUCUGAUUCAGAGAACACAACAUGCUUCUUAGUGCUCGUGUUUUCACAUGAUUUAGCCAUGAUCUCUUGAGAGAAAGAUGGUGAAUAAUAAGAACUAAUGUAGAUAUACAAUGAUAUACAACUCUUUUAUAGUGUGAAAACCAGUGUGGGUUGGUGGCCAUGAAUUUUUAUUUUAUUAUUUUAUUCCUAUGUUAAUUUUGAGUAUAAUAUAUAUGUAGUGAUACUGUAAAAAUCUGUACAAUAUUCAAUUUGUACUUUUAUUUUAUUUAAUAGUCAAUGAUGAUUGAACAUGAAUGUGAAUAAUGCAAUAAUAAUGUAAAAAUAUUUUACAAUAUCGAGACAAACAUAUUUUUCUCAUUAAUUUUAAAUUACCUUUUUCUUUGUAGCGUUUCUUUAUUUUUAUUUAAUGAUUUCCAUUUUGAGUAUAUGGUAAGUUUAUUAUAACUUUUCUAGGAAAUUGCAGUAAUAUAUGAUAUAAUAAAAACAAUUCAUAUUCUUUAAUGUAAACAUGUUUUUUUUUUCUAUUACCAUCCUUAUGAAGUCCAAAUGUAUUAACUUUUAUUUAAAGAUUUAUGCCACAUACAUAGUAUUCAUACCUAUUAUUAGGGGUAGUUGGAAAUUAUAGGCAAUUCAAGAUUUGACUCAUUAAAUGAUGAAUCAAAUGAGUUUAAAUUAAAAACAAAUUGAGUUUGUUAAAUAAAUAGACCAUAUUUGAACAAAGUAUAAUUCAAUUUGUUAUAUUGUAUGUACUAAAUCAAUUGGUUAUAUAUAUAUAUAUAUAUAUAUGAAAUAUUUUAUAAAUAAAUAGACCAUAUUUAUUUAUAUGAAAUAUGAAAUAUAUAUAUGAAAUAUUUUAUGAUUAUUAUAUAUAUGUUUUUAUAUUCAUAUACUGAGUGUAAUAUAUUGUUUUGUAUUAUAAUAGGUAUUCUCUCAUCAUUUUGGGUAACUAAUUAAUCUAUUUUGGAUGUGAGACUGCUCCUCUUAAUAAGCGUUAACAGAAAUCGUUGACCAUAAGUGUAAUAUAUAUUAAUACUAAAAAAUUAAGUUUCACGUACCUGUGGAUGUUCCUGGCUCGGAUCGGAUUGCCUCCAGUGUGAAGAUACAUGUGGGAAACCAAAAAAAACUAAUUAAACACAUUAAUGUGUAAUUAUACUUUAUUUUAUAAACUAUUCCAAGGAGAAUUUGACUUCAAUGAAAUAAGUCGUUGUUGUGAUGUACAUUAAUGAAAUGUUUUAAAUUUUAGUUGUAAUUCUGUUGUGAGUUCGAGCACCAUUGUGGACAUUACAAGCAUCAAAUUACAAAUUGAUAUCAUUGUAGUGUAAAAUUUUAUCAGAUUAAAAAAAAUACUUUUCAAUUUGAAUCAAUCUCAUGUGGCCUAAUUAAUAUAGUUUAAUGAAAUCCAAAUGUAGUAUAAAAAAUAUAUGGAUAAAAUUCUUUUCCAGUAUGAUUUCAUCAUUGUGGUUCAAUAUUAUAUUAUAGUUGUAGACCAACGGGUGUUGGUUCAAGUGAUACAUAUUUGAUUUCCUUUAAGUAAGGUCUUGGGUUCGAAUCUUGUGGAUGAAAAAUAUUCAUUGAGAGAGUUAGCCACACAUACCUGUGGAUGUUCUCGGCUCAGACAAGAUUACCUCCAGUACGGGAUACUUAUGGAAACCAAAAAAUUAUUACAGUUGUAGAGUGAUAUGAUUAUUUAUAUAUAAUUAUUGUAAUAUUAAAGUUGCAUGAUAUAAUGCACAAUUUAUAAACUAUAACAAUAUGUUAUUUGUGAAUAGUGGAGAAAUUAGACUAAAUUUGUAUCUAUAAAAACUUAUUUAUAUAUAUAUAUUUUUGGUGGAACUCAUGAUAUCAUGAUUGACAAACUUAACACAACUAUAUACUAGCUAUUUAAACAGUAAAUUAUUUAAUAUAUGUAUAUUAGAGAAAUAAAUAUUAUUUUUUAAUAUAAUUAGAAAAGUAAUAUUAAAAUAAAUAAUUAUACUUUACUAGGGUGUCAAAAAUAAUUGUGUCUAUGAGUAUUCGUAGAAAUAUCUAAAAUAAAUAAUUACAAUAAUAAUUUAUUGGGGAGGAUAAAAAUUAACAUAUAUGCUCCUUAAUUCUUGCAAAUAUAUAAUUUUAUUUUUUAUUAAAUAUUAUAUAUAUAUUAUAUUUUUUGUUACAAGAUUAUAUAUAUAUUAUCUAUUUACUAUUAUUCAUAAAAAAUUAAUAAUUGGAUUAUAGUAACAAAUUUGUAAUAUGCAUAUGUUAUUAUGGAAGUAAUAAUCAUUUUUAUAAAUAUAAUUAUAAAAUAUAUAAACAUAUGAUUAAACUUGAAAACAUACUGAUAUGGGGUCAACUUCAACAUACUCUCAUAGGCCCACCAGGAACAAGCUACCACCUAAAUGGUUAUCUAAUUUUAUUAGGAAGUAAUAUUUUAAUUAAUGUAUCAGUUGGGCCAAGCUAUAAGGCUCAACUAUAGGAGUAACCCUAAAUCUAAUAGGAGUUGUUAUAUAUAUCCUAUUAGCCUAUAGCAGCAGCUAUGAUGAAUGUUGUUUUUAUUUUCUCUACUAGUUAAUACAAGGUGGAAUUAUUUAGUAAUUAUUUCUGCCUCAUUCCUUCUUCUUUUGGGAGCAACAGGACGCAAGACAUGAAGCCAUUACUGCAACAUUAAAGGGACUCAUAGAAAAAAUUACUGGUAUUCAUUUUUUAACCCCUCCACUACCUAACCCCCCAAAUAUACCAUCAUCUUCUCAUAUUUCCAACCCUACACCUCAAAGUAUGCACACACCUCAUCCUUCUCCAACCCAAACUAACCCACCAGCCUUCCCAAAUUUCCCUCCCUACAACCACUCACCAGUUCCCCCUUUUUUCCACCACAAAUGCCUUUUACACGCCCAAAUCUAAACCAAGCCUACACUCUUCCCUCACAACCUAGAUCACCCAAACUACAGCUGAACGUUUUUUAUGGUACCGAACCGCUGGCUUGGUUGUUUCAAGCAGAACAUUUUUUCCAAUUAUAUCAAAUUCUCCCUAAACAACGUCUACAUAUUGUUUCAUUUUAUAUGAAGGGAAAAGCACUGAGCUGGUUUAAAUGGGCCUUUUAUAAUUCCACAUUCACCGAUUGGGAAAGUUUUAUCCGUGCCUUGGAGAUCAGAUUCGGGCCCUCUACAUACCAGAACCACCUGGCAGAGUUAUUUAAGCUACGCCAAACUGGCACAGUGGCUGAAUAUCAACAUUAGUUUGAAAAAAUUUGCAACCGGAUUUGGGGACUUGCUCCGGACGUUGUGCUUAACAGUUUUCUUUCGGGACUUAUCCCUGAAAUUCGGCGGGAAUUGGCCAUUCUGCGGCCUACUCAUUUAGCCGAGGCCUUGGGACUAGCAAAAUCGGUGGAGUCCAAAAUCAAGGAUUCCAAACCCACUUAUACCAGGCCUGCUCGUUUUGCUCCACAGCCUACCGCCACAGUCCACCGUGGGCCAAAUCAGAUCCCCCCACCACUUCUACAAUACCAAUUAAACGUCUUUCCACUUCCCAGAUGCAGGAAAGACGGGUCCAAGGGUUGUGUUAUAAUUGUGAUGAGAAAUAUUUUCAAGGCCAUAAGUGCCAAGGGCGACAAUUCUUAAUCCUCUUGGUGGAUGAUUCAACAGGUGAAUUCGAGGAUGUGUUGAUUUCAUUAGAGCCCGUUGAGGCUGAUCCAGACCCUUCUACCGCGGAACUCGUUCAUUUUCAACUGUCCGAGCAGGCAUUAGAAGGUCAGCCCUCUCCAAAAACCUUGCGGUUCACUGGGUCCAUCGCAGGGCAAGGGGUCACUGUUUUGGUGGACACUGGAAGUUCCCACAAUGUCAUCCAACCCCGUUUAGCCCAUUACUUACAAUUGGAGGUAUCUCCCACGCCAAAGUUUCCCAUCAUGGUUGGAAACGGUGCACACAUUUACUGCAUUGGUUUGUGUUCUAAUACACCUAUCACUCUUCAAAAUCAACUAUUUCAUAUUCCAUUUUAUCUUUUACCAAUUAAAGGUGCAGAUGUGGUUUUGGGUAUCGAAUGGUUGAGAACACUGGGGCUUGUGAUAUCAGAUUUUGCUAUUCCUUCAAUGACUUUUACAGUAGGGGACAACACCAUCACCUUAAAAGGAGACACACACUCUACUAUUCAACCCACAACUUUUCAUCAACUUUCCAGAUUUUUUCACACAGAUUCCAUAGCCUCCCUCCACACUAUACAAUUUCUCCACUUAGACCCCCAACCAAACACUACAGCCCUACAAACCAAUCCCACAGACCCAAAUAUCCAAUCCCUGCUAAACCGCUAUGACACUGUUUUCCAAAAACUACACAGCCUACCCCCAUCUCGCCCAGAAGACCACCAUAUUCCACUCCUUCCCAAUUCCUCCCCCAUUUCUACCAAACCAUACCGCUACCCUCACUCCCAAAAAGAUGCAAUGACUAAGAUGUUAACAGAAAUGUUACAUGAAGGAAUAGUAAUCCCCAGUAGAAGUCAUUUUUCCUCCCCAGUUUUAUUGGUAAAAAAAAAAGAUGGUAGUUGGCGAUUCUGUGUUGAUUAUCGCGGCCUAAACUCAAUCACUGUAAAGGACUGUUUCCCUGUUCCUACGAUUGAUGAAUUAUUAGAUGAGCUAGGCGGUGCUACAAUGUACACUAAAAUAGACCUUCGCUCCGGCUACCAUCAGAUUAGGGUCCAUCCGGAGGACACACACAAAACUGCCUUUCGGACCUUUGAUGGACACUAUGAAUUUUUGGUUAUGCCGUUUGGGCUAACCAAUGCGCCUUCUACAUUUCUUAGAAAAUUUGUUCUGGUGUUUUUGAUGAUAUUUUAAUUUACAGUUGUACAUUACAAGAUCACCUUAAGCAUCUACAAAUUGUCUUGGAAUUAUUGAGUUCUAACCAGUUUUAUGCUAAAUCAUCAAAGUGCAUUUUUGGAGUUGAUUCAGUGAGUUAUUUGGGUCACAUUAUUGCUGAUAGUGGUGUUCAACCAGAUCCAGAAAAGAUUCAGGCAGUGGUAAAUUGGCCACAACCACGUUCACUCACGACACUCAGAGGUUUUUUGGGGCUCACCGGCUUCUAUAGAAAAUUUGUGAGAAACUACGCCUCUCUCGCCGCUCCACUCACCGAUUUACUAAAGCAUAAUAGUUUUACAUGGUCCAGUACAGUAGAAUUAGCAUUUACAGAAUUAAAAAUGGCUAUGACUACUACUCCGGUAUUGCAUCUGCCUGAUUUCACGUUGACUUUCGAUGUUGAAACAGACGCUUCCGCAACAUACUCUCAUAGGCCCACCAGGAACAAGCUACCACCUAAAUGGUUAUCUAAUUUUAUUAGGAAGUAAUAUUUUAAUUAAUGUAUCAGUUGGGCCAAGCUAUAAGGCCCAACUAUAGGAGUAACCCUAAAUCUAAUAGGAGUUGUUAUAUAUAUCCUAUUAGCCUAUAGCAGCAGCUAUGAUGAAUGUUGUUUUUAUUUUCUCUACUAGUUAAUACAAGGUGGAAUUAUUUAGUAAUUAUUUAUGCCUCAUUCCUUCUUCUUUUAGAUCAGAUAUUUACAUAAUAUCACAUACUCAAUACCCACAUAUAGAUAUAGAUAUAAGCACAUAUAAGUAGUACUCGUGCACACCCUACACAAUUGUGUGCUAUCCCUAUAUUUUACCAACCAUGCCCCCAUCUAUUUUUGUAAAUAAGUAUUUAUAUAAUUUAAAAAUUGUAUACAUUAUUUUAAAGUACAUAUCUAUAAUUAUGAGUUUUUUGGUGAUAUAUAAUUACGUGUUUCUAAUUUAAUAAAAAAAUAUUUGGAAUAUAUUUUUUAUUAACUUUUCCAUAAUCAAUAAAUUAAUUUCAAACAAUCUUAAUUGUAAUCUCUCAGCCAAUACUCUGACAAACUAUACCUAGGACUUAAAUCAACGACGCUAUUAUAACUUGAGCAUAGAUUUCAUAUAUGAGUUCGAAUACAAUUGCAUUAAAUACAUGAUAUUUAAAUAAAAAUUAAAAAGUAUUGAUGAAAAAAUUUCAAAUUUUGGAAUUGAUAAUUUAUAGAAGUAUAAUGCUCAAAUAAUUUAAAAACAAAUUUUGACUGAAAUAGGGAAAUUAAUAUUAAAAGGUGCUCUCUACAUUAAUAUAACAAUUUGAAAUACCCUAUUUUGUCAUUAACUUUUCCGUUACUUAAACCUAAUAAAUUACGCAUAGACAAUGUAAUUAUGUAAAGGCACUAAGUCAUAUCAUGAAAAUGCUAUCUAUAAAAAUUAGUCUUAUCUGCAAGUUUUAUUAAAAAUAAGUUUUGACGGUAACCUAAUGAACUAUAUAUUAUGCAUUAAAUACUCAAUAUAUGACUUUAUUAAAGUUUUUCGUCAAAUCAUUAUCUAAAUAAACAAUUUUUGUGAAAAUAACUGUUUUAAAAUAGUUUUUCAAAAUUAUUGCUUUCAUAAAUAAUUUUCCUCUGUAAUUAAUUCCAUUAAAAUAUUUCAUAAAAAAAUUACACGUACGUCUUACUUAAAUAUAUUUAUAAUUGCUUUCCUUAAAUUAUUUUGCAAUAAAUUAUUUUGCAAUAUAUUUAUAAUUUUCCUCAUUUUUUACUCAAUUUUAUAUUUGGAAAAUAUAAACUAAUAAGGAAAGGAUGAGGGUCAUAAUCAGAUACUUCAUUAUGAGUGUGUGAACGUCAGGUGUGAGAAAAUAAUAAGCUAAAAAAUUGAAAAGAUUGUGUCCAAUGUACGUGUUUGGUCAAAUCAAUUUUCAAAAUUUCAAAUCAAACUCACCUACAUCAUUAAAUAUUUUAAGAGUAAAUUACACUGACACCCCCUGAGUUUUAAUGAAAUUACGCAAACCACCUCUCACUUUUCUAAACUUACACAAACCUCCCCUAGUUUUGUACUUUCAUUACACUGAUCACCCCUGUAUAAGAAAUAAGUGUAAUCUUUUAAACAAAAAAUGUGAUAAAUGCAAUUAAGUUAAACAAAACAUGAUAUAUUGUGUAGACAAGUCUAAAUAAUAUACAAAUUAAUGUAUCUUUAUUAUUUUUUUGUUACAAAAUGCAUCAACAAUUAUAAAGAAAUAUUGUUUAAAUCACUCUUAUAAUGUAGUGUAACACGAACCAAAAAUAAUAAAGAUAUAUUGAUUUGUAUAUUAUUUAGACUUGUCUACACAAUAUAUCAUAUUUUGUUUAACUUAAUUGCAUUUAUCAUAUUUUUUGUUUAAAAAAUUACAUUUAUUUAUUAUACAGGGUGGUCAGUGUAAUGAAAGUAUAAAACUAAGGGAGGUUUGUGUAAGUUUAGAAAAGUGAGGGGUGGUUUGUGUAAUUUCACUAAAACUCAGGGAGUGUCAGUGUAAUUUACUCAUAUUUUAAUUUGGUUUGGAUAUGGUGGGUUUGGGAAUGAAUCCAAAUCCGCUCACGCCUGGACACCAAGGUAAAGAUCAAAAAAGACAAUUUCUAUAAAAUUUAUAAUUAUUGAAAUUAAUAAUAUUGAAUCAAUAAUAAUUUUUAAUUUCAAACUUCACAACUUGAUAGACUGUGUGGAUGACAUAGUAGGUACCAGCCUCCGGCUUGGUAGAGUGAAAGAAGUCUCCACGACUGCAUGGUGAGAUGGAAAGCGCAUAGUUGUGUCGUCGCACCCUAUCUCUGGCUCCAGGCCACAAGGUUCUGUAGGUAUAGCGGUCCCUAUCAAUUCUCCAUGCCCUGGGACAUCGAGAAUCGGUAGCUCUGAAUUCGCGCCGAUUUGUCCAUCUGGACAAGGACGUGUACCAAAAUACAAGGAGAAAGAAAGGGAGUAAGACAUCUAAUGAAUAUUUUUUAUCGAUAACAUGGAAUUAUACAUAAUAUCACAUCCAAACAUAACACACAUAAUAUACAUAAUAUGUUAUCAGAUACAUAAAUGCAGAUGAUGAAUGAUGUUUGUAACUCAUGAUAUGCGGGUUAAUAUCCACAAGUUCAAUAUAUGAAUGUUAUGCUUAGUUCAUUCGUCCUUACACCAAUAUCCUCCCAAUAAACUAUUCGGAAAUAACUGAGAGCACAUGUCCCAUAACAAACCGAUUCGAAUGCACCAACUUAUUCCUUGCAAGGAUAUAUAAUCGAUAUGUUCCAAUGGAACUGUCCAUUUCAAGACGGUGUCGUAUCAAACACUCUCUGGACAUCUGUUGUGAACCUCUUGGGGUAAAAGGCUCUUGAAACGAUCUAUCUUGGUUGGUGUAUGGCCUAGGCUCAUGGUUGAGUAGAGCCCUUGAGUUUAUGCAGCGGACAUAACUUGUGUUUGGAUAAAAGAAGAUGGAAAAGAUUUGAGGUGAAGGCGCCACAAACAAUUCAGUUGUUUGAUAAGCCAAAGUGAUGCUCGCCACAAGAACUUGGUUCUUGAUAAGAACUUCUGAUCUUGGUUCAGCCAAGAAGGUUUGGAGAAUACUCUCACAAGGAUAUAAUCCUUUUUGAUUCACAAAGGANNNNNNNNNNNNNNNNNNNNNNNNNNNNNNNNNNNNNNNNNNNNNNNNNNNNNNNNNNNNNNNNNNNNNNNNNNNNNNNNNNNNNNNNNNNNNNNNNNNNAGGUGCAUGCUUAGCAUGCUUACAUUGGAUACUCUAAAAGCAAAUGAAUCUACUCCGAAUCUAGACUAUAUUCGAGUAGUAAAGGAAAUAGCACAUGUGUUUCGUGUGCUUUAUUACAAUUGAAAACAAACUUAAUGACUUGGCCUAGGGUGCUUGAUUGCCACGAUUGGAUAGUGAAAAACAUAAGAUUCUUUUUCUCCUUAAGUGCUUGGCUCAACCAUUAAGUGAAAUGAUCAAGAGACUUGAAGACUCCUUAAUGCUCACGGCUAAGCUUUGAUGAGCUUCAUUGGAUUCUUCUAAUUUGGCACAGGGAAAAUGUUGGAAUUAACCCUUCUUAAUGCUCCUCGGGUAAACUUGGACUUGGCAUAGGAUUCCUUUGCUAAUGAAUGAAUUUCCCACGGCUAAGUGUUGAUUAAGGAUGCACUAAAUAGCAUAGGAUGUCGUUGGUGCAAGAUGGUAGGCUGCCAACGGCUAGGACAUGUGCAUUAAGCACCAUUAAUGCACCAUUAAGGUCUCAAACGACCAUAUCCAAAUUCCACACGAGCAACUUUGCUCCAACAACUCUGAAAUUAACUUAGGAUUCCUCUGAAAGAAUUGUGCCCAGGUGGAUUUAGCUCCAAUGGUCCAAACAUAGUGUUUAAGCCCCAUAAAUGCUCCAUUAAGCUCUUCCAUGGUCACUUUGUGAUUUCCCUCGAGCAAUCUCUUUCCAAAGGCUACAUUAGUCUUUAUUUACCUGCCAAAUAAUAUUAGACAAAGUUAGAAUGAGUUUGGUUCACGAAAAUAAUAAGUUGUUCCAAGCAUUAAAGAGUCGGUUACACUUUUAGGCUUGUCUUAAUCAUCCACGUGUCAAUUUUCAUUCUGGUCAAUUUUUAAGAGCAGAUUUUUUACAACAAUAUUACAAACAUGAUUAAAUUAAUUAAACUAAGUGGUGGAGAAAAGUUAGCCCACACAUUUAUUAUAAAAAUUAAAUUUGCUCAAUACUAAUUAAAUUGGCUAGGCCUAACUCGGUCAGGCUACGCCGAGUGCCUGAUGCGGCACGCUUGGCGCAUGCGCCUCGAUCAGAUUUCCUGGCCAGGCCAGUUUGGCCCAGCGCCUGGUGCAACACUGGGUGCACCAAAGUCCCCAACUCGGUCAGAUUUAUCUCGGUCAGGAAUUGAGCCUGAUGCGUCUGGCUCCAUGCCAAGGUCAUUUUUGGCGCUUUCCUUAGACCCGUGGCCUGAGUGUUUUGCAUGGCCUGGUCCAUGCUUGGCUCGGUCAGAACCAUGGACCAAGAUGCUAGUGAGCAUCUUUACACCCCCUUGGGCUAUUUUUGGCUCACCAUCAUGGAUCAACAUUAUGAGUUGUCCAAGGGCAUUUUGAGCCCUUUUUGCCCUAGCCCUAGUCAUAGGACCACUUAUUCCUUCAAGACCACCAAGAUCAAGGUUAGGCUCUUUGAGGUUCAUAUCAGCAUCCCUCUUAUCGAUCUUGAUUGCAAAAGGGGUUGUCAGAGAUUGUCUAGUUUGUGCUGUAAGAAUUGUCCGAUACAACAGAAUACCUCAUCGAAGAAUACAUGGGACUCAUCUCACCUAGACUCUCCCUCAAGGAUUUUGGUGAAGCAUCACCACCAUCACCGUCCCUCUCAACACCUUGGGGCUCAUUUGUCUCCCGUAACUUUCCUUUACACUACUUCAUUGUUCAUAAUGAGUAUGCACACUAACCGAGGUUAGCCGAUUAAAUCAUUUAAUCAUUAUGUAUUUUUACAUGAUUGGCCCAGACUAGGACAUCUCCCAAAGGGAUACUUCUUGUGGGGCCCGAUCUUGCAUCAUAACAUAAAAUAGGAAUAAUAUCCUCACUACUACGAACCAUCGCUGAAUCACCCUGAACGGGCCAAUGACCAAGCCACUUACGGUUAGACAAUCUCGCUGCGUGGUAAACAUAACCUUUUGGGCCUCGCCCUUAAUGCCAUAAUAGUUGACGACUUUGUCAGGAGGGCUCUAAGUAAUCAUGUUACCACCAAUAGCCCAUACUACCGAUAGAUAACGCUUAAUUAUGCUAUAGUGAUACGUAUUUGUUUCAUCUUUGGGAUAUCAGUCCUUUUUAAAUUAUUUUAUCUUGUAUUACUUGUACUCCCAUACUUUCCAUCAUUCAGACAAUUUUAUAACACUGAUAAUUGAUUAUGCCAAAGGUUAAUCAAUUAUUCCUAGUUAUAGUAGCUAAAAGAAUUAUAACUUCUGGUAUCGAUAAUCGAUUAGCAGACCAGGUAAUCGAUUAUGUCCAUCGGACAAGGAGAUUUUAGAAUAUUGGUAAUCGAUUAUGUUACAUGUUAAUCGACUACUCCUCGUUACAAUAGCUACAAGAUUCUGAUUUUUGAUAUCGAUAAUCGAUUAUGUAAAAGGGUUAAUCAAUUACACCUAGUUAUAGUAGCUACAAGAUUCUGAUUUUUGAUGUUGAUAAUCGAUUAUUAACCAUGGUAAUGAAUUAUGACCAUCAGACAUGGGGUUUUUAGAAUACGUAAAAUCAAAUAUCUCAAGGGAUAGUCGAUCCUUCCUAGUUACAGUUAUUCGAGUAAUGUUCAUCCAUGGAUCACCACAACAUUACUCCAUACAUAGACAUAACUUAAACGAUAUGACUUAAGUGAUCAUCUGUACUUAAUCCUAACAGACAAACAAUUUGAUUAAGUACGAGAUUUCUUAAUACUCAAGACAGCUCCAAACCUUUGAGGUAGUUUAGGAGAUACGGAUGUCAUAUUCUGACACCGCUGUGUCACGAUGUAUUCUCCCUCACCUUAGAGUGUCAGGUGAGUGGUUCUCUUGAUGAUAAGUGAAAAACGAGUAUGAUGCUCAACUUCGAAAGCUUUGGAAAUAAACACAAGAACAAAUCAGUAGGUUUGCGAGUUAAAAUUCUUGCAUGAUAACCCUUAGGUAAAGACAUCUUUUAGCCUAUCAUGGACUCAAUCACUUUCAUCCAUACGGUUCAAGAUUACAUAUUCGUGAAUCAUCCUUUAUCAUCGAAAGUCUUGUUUAAGAAAACAAUCCUUUUUAAAAUAAGACUUUAACAAAGCUUGAACUUUUAACUUUAAUACAAAUUAAUACUUUCAUGAAGACUUUUUAAGUCAUAUUCACCACUUUAAGGUAAGUUACUUAACCAAAGUCAACACUUUAAAUCAAGAUCUCUUAAGUUAAACUUACCACUUUAAAGUAAGCUAACUUAAGUGGAUUCAAUACUUUUGAACAAUAAAACUCCAUGGUCAUUUCAACACAUUUCAUUCUAAAGCAACACAAGGGUUGAUUUGAUCACAUAAUCAAGAACAACAUACUAAAAGAUGAUAACUAUCUAAUGGUGUAGAUGUGAGAUUUUGAGAAAACAAGAAGGGAAAUACCUUGAAAUCUCUUAGAAGUGCUUAGAAUGCAAAGUGAGAAAGUGAGAAAAAAAUUGUUCUCCCUCAAGGCCAAGGGGUUGCUUUUAUAGAGGGUGUAAUUAGAUUUGGGGGAGAUCAAAGUGGUUCCCCAAAAUCAUAGUGGUGUAAGGAGAUGGUGAGUGAUUUAGGAGAUUAUGUAAGUGAUUGUAUUUUUGCUUAUUCAACAAGCAAACUUGACUCAUGAAUGGAUAAUGUGACGAAUGUGAUGACAUAUCGUGAUUAAAACCAUGUCUGAGUAUUGUGGUUAAAACUCGACUGGAGAUUAAAAAUCUCUUGAUUUAGGGUUACGUUUAGAACGUCGAAACUUGGAUUUUAGAGUGAAAAUAUAUAGAGAUGAGUUAUAGAUAAACUUUGUGUCUACUUUGACUAGAAAUAAUAUUUUGAUUCCGAGUUACGAAACUCAAAAAUCACAUUUGGGCCGAAUUUAGGGUGCAUUUGGACCCGAAAAGGCCCGACGUUUUGUCUUAGAAAAUUAUGAAAAUUUACCAUAAAUUAGGAAAUAACAAUACAAAACAAGACUAAAACUCAACUGAGGUUUAGCCUAAAUCAAUACCUAUUAAUUUCUAAAAUUAUUCGCUUGUCAAUUAAAUAAUUAAUAAAACGCGUAUAGAAAAGCACGGUGUUACACAAGAGCUUGUGUUAUUAAAAGUGGAGAAUCAACAACGUCCCCACAAGUGAGUGUGAUAGAUUUGUCACGUACAACAAUGAUCAAUUGAGGAGACAAGGUUGUAUACAGGAAAAUAAAUACUACUUGCUUGAGAAAGUAUUGUCAAUUCUCCAUUUUCUACAAUGUUUACUUGGAAAAUGUUAAGUGAGAUUUUGAAGUAUUUCAUUAAUGACCAUUUUCCCUUUUAAAUUGUCAUGAAAUAAUAAUCUUGACCUGUACAUAUAUAUAUAUAUUAAUUGUUUUGAGAUGAUAUUUAUUAUAAAUAAUUAAGAUUUGUUUAGUGUACAAUGUCUCUUAAGGUUUUUUUGGAGUCUUUCGCAUGUUAUUAAUUUUGACUUCGCAUUCUAUGUCAGAAAUAAUCUUACUCGUUUUCAUGAGGAUGUGUGAGUCUUAUAUAUUUAAUAUGCUAAAGACAUAUAUAUGAUUGUGAAAAUGUUGUUACCAUAAUGUGAAGUGCUAGUUUGUGGUAGUUCAUCAACAUGAAAGUGUAUAACAUGAUAAUAGAUGAAUACUUGUGAGUAUUUGUGAUGUAUUAUUUGAUAGGUGUUUUGUCAUAUUCUUUUGUUCUCAACUUUCUGUAAAUUGGAUUUAUCAUAUUUACCAUUUGUUUGUUAUGGUGGCUGAAAUGGGUGAUGAUUGUGAAUUUCAUUAGUGGUCAACGCUAAGAAUAGUGAAGAUGUGAUUACCUUUAAGGCGAUCUUGGGUGAGCAUGAUGAGAAUAAAAGAGUUUUUUUAGCUUAAAGAUGAAUGAUAAGUUGUGAAUGAUAGAGAUAAAGGUGAUCAUAGCUUAUAUAAGUUGGUAGCUAUGAUAGUAUGAGGAAUAAGAUAGAUAAAAUUUAAUAAAAUAUAACUUUUUUUGCAAUCUCUAUAAAUUGUGAUUUUUAAAUUUUGCUUAUUCUAAAUUAAGAUUUUUUUCUAAUUUUUGCUGAUGUGGCAAUGCUAACUAGAUUUUCAUUAUGUCAAGUCACAACUUUUCAUCUAAGCUUGGUGCUUAAAUAAAAAGUGGAAAAGAAAAUUAGGGAUAAACUAUUAAUACCUAUAAGACUAAAAUCAAAUUUAAUAACUAUUUCUUUAUGAUAAAAAAUAUAUACAUUAACAUUAUAUGAGUUAUAUAUACUGUCACUGUAUCAUCCAACAUUCAUACUUAAUCAUCGUUGACUUUUUUAUAAAAGUAAUUCAGGUAAAUGAUAAAUAAUGUAGUGACUAUAAAUAAAUUUUUACAAUAUAAUCAUAUAUAUUACCGUCUAAUUAUAUAUAGGGUUGCAUCGUUUUUAUUUUGGCCAUAUGUUCACACUAUAGCACAGCCAUUGCGGAUGAACAAUGAUCAUAUCUAAUAUUGGAGAGGCAAAUGCAUGUUUUUCGUUUGUUUUUAAGGUAAAAAUGUAAUUUCAUUGUAAUCAAAGAGAUAAAUUUGUUAUUAAUAUUUAUAUUUUCUUUAUUUUUUGAAGUACUUACCUUUCUAUUAAUAGAUAGGAUUCUAACCUAUUAGGGAAUGAGCUUUUUCAUACACGUAUAUCAGCCUCAAAGUGAGAUCACAUGCUUAAAAAGCUUCAAUUAAUUGGAUUCAACUUUGACUAAUCAAUACAUAACUAAAUUGAUUUAGUGAAAAUAGUAUCUUUAUGAAAAGUAUAAUCUUGAAGAGAAAUAUAAUAUUUUUUUACAUAUACUACACCAAAAUUGCAAAAUAAUACUACUUAAAAUUGACAUUUAAGAGUACUUUUGAGUAUUGUUAAUAUGAAUGUACUAAAAUGUAGGACUAGAUUUAACAUUAAUUAUAAACUGUUGUAGUAAACGGUGAAUCAACAACGCUUGCUUGAGAAAACAUUGUUAAUUGUGUUAUAUUCAACAAUGUUUUUCUCAAAUGUUUGUUGUUCAAUGCAUUUAGGACAUUAACUCCUACACAAAAUUGUAGUACAAUUAGAAAAUGUUAAGCAUGCUGCAUUUUAUAAAAACAAUUAUGUACACCAAAAUGCUCACCCAAUAUUAUAAGGUGCAAUAAAUAAUUUUUCAUCGUGAUUUUUCGAAGAAUAUUAACAACAUAUUCCAGUUGUCCCUUUUUUUUCCAUCAAAGCUUCUAUCUUUCAAUAAAAAAGUUGUCCUUUACAAGGACAAGAACAUCACUAAUUUUUUUAUCAUUGACAAAAUUUGCAUACAAGUACGUGAAAAAAUAUUGAUAAAAUGGUCAAUUGUCAACAAUAUAGUAACACCAAAUAUCCUGGAAGAUCUCAUAUAUACACAAGUGAUGGCGGCUCCAAUGAGGCUAUCGUGGAAGACAUGGAUUAGAAAAUUGUUAUCCUCUGUAUAGGGAGUCAUUCUCCUAGCAUACAUGGUGAGGUGAUCCUUAAGACAAGAAAUUCCUUGAUAUUUCUCAAAUUCAGGCAUCCUGGACUUUGGUGGAAAUAUCACAUUCAGGACCAAAAACAUGCUUGUAAAGUCCUUCAAACUGUGGGAGCUUGCUUCCUCAAUAGCUUUAAUUCUUUCUUUAAUUGCCUUGAUCUUCUCCCAAUCUUGAGGAUCUAUAACAUUGUAGGACGUAGAUGAAUGAUUGGGAUUAUCAUGGACAAAUGGGGUUUCCAUAUGAUAGGAAAUUUGCAAAUUUGUCCUUGGGGAUGGUUUAUUCAAUAUGAGCAACUGAUUUAUGUUGUGCAGUCUCGAGAGCAAGAUUCUUUCUUCCUUAUUACAUCGUUUCAACCAAGUCCAAUAAUAUCACCUUUAAAAACCAUUUUUCAACUCAUGAGUGUCCCUGCUAGUGAUUUAUGCAUGAGGUACAUGAAUGAUUGAGAUAUAUGAAUGUCAUGAAGAUGUAAAUUUUGAUUCAUGCAAUAUACAUGCAUGUUAUUUUUCCUCGUUUUGAAUUCAUGUGAAAAUGCAUGAAUUGACUUAUUUUUUAGAUAAUGGGUUAUGCAUGAUAGUGCAUGAAAUGCAAUAUUUGAAUGAUUUAUUAUUUUUUAUGAAUGUAUGUAAAUGUAGAUGAAUGUGUGAUGAUAUAUCAUUUUUUGUAUGAAUGGACAAAUGAAUGUUUGAUUCUUUAUUUUGAUUUUAUGUAUGUAUGUAUAAAUAGAUGAAUCAUUUUUGUUACUUUUGACUCAUGUGGACAAAUGUUUGAGUGAUAUAAUAACUUUUGGAAGGAUGUAUAUUUUUGUGAAUGUUUGAAUUAUGCAUGUAUAAAUGAAUGAAUGAUUUUUUAUAUUUUUUAUGGAUGUUUUAAUGAUGUAUAUUUCGAUGAAUGUAUGAGUGACUGACAUGCAUGAACUUGAUAUNNNNNNNNNNNNNNNNNNNNNNNNNNNNNNNNNNNNNNNNNNNNNNNNNNNNNNNNNNNNNNNNNNNNNNNNNNNNNNNNNNNNNNNNNNNNNNNNNNNNAGGGUUUGAAUAGUCUAAAGAUAACAACCCUAUAGCGGGGUACUAGGUCUUGAUUAAAGUGAACUCGAUAAGAGCUUUAGACUUGCGGGUCACCAGAUUACAUCCAAUCUAGGAAGAAAAGAAACCCAAAAUAUUGAAGGUUAGAAACAAGAGGUGUCUAGCCCCUCGAGCAUCUAACUCAUGUUAAGUAUCAAUGGUUAAAAUACACCUAGAAGGGGGGGAGGUUGAAUAGGUGUAGCGGUUAGAAUAUCCGCUUUUCGAAAACAACACUUAAUGCUGAAUCAGCCCCAACCCCAGAUUAAUUGAUUAAAGGAAUAGAGAUAAUCGAUUAACGCAAUUAACUUAAUCGAUUAAAACAGAAAAGCAAGCUCAAACAUAUUCGGUUUCUUGCACGACAAUUAAUCGAUAUUAAAAUGGAUACACAAAGCUUACAAUUUUAUCAGAGUAUUAACAGUAUAGCACAUAUACAGAAUAUAGCAAUUAAAACUACUAUACAAGUUAACGAUUAAAUGCAAUAAAGAGAGAAAGAGAGAGAGAAAAAAUCCUGCAACAUGAUUUUUAUCCUGGUUCGUUUGCGUGUCCACUUGCAAACUACAUCCAGGCCUCCCGGCUGAUCUGGGAGACUUUCUUCACUAUAAUUGAAUCAAUGUUUUUACAAGCACUUCUUCCAAUUACAACACUUAGACAUUCACAAGAAAAUAAAGAACCUUAUUCUAUGGUUUGACUCCCUUCCUACCGACAAAGAAAACCUUUCUUUCGACAUAGCCCCAGCCAAGAACCUUGUUCUUUCUUGUCAAGAACUCUAAGCAAUAUGAAGAUACAACUCAGUCUCUUAGGUGGUACGACACCUCGAGAUUCCCAAUGUUACAACGAUUUUUUACAAUAAAACUAUAGAGUAAACUUAAGCAAUUACAAAGCUCNNNNNNNNNNNNNNNNNNNNNNNNNNNNNNNNNNNNNNNNNNNNNNNNNNNNNNNNNNNNNNNNNNNNNNNNNNNNNNNNNNNNNNNNNNNNNNNNNNNNUCAAUAAGAGUUUGAGAUGAGUUACCAACUGUUUCAGUGCCAAGAAUCUUUACCUUGUUGUUGUCUCUGUACGUGACCUAUCCUUUUCCUUUAAGUGAGAGAUCCAGGAAGUUUGAUCUGUCACCUGUCAUAUGUCUCGAACACCCACUGUCUAAGUAUCAUUUUUGUCCUUGUGUUCGAAGACAUACCUGCAAAAGAGAUCACUUGCUUUUCUCAGGUACCCAAUUUAUGUUGGGUCCUUUUCUGUUAGUAAUCAGGGAGUCAUCUCCCUUCUUUAUCCAUACAUAAACGCCGCUAGGUAUACCAUACUUUCUGAUGUAACAUGAAUAUGAAGUAUGACCAUAUGUAUUGCAGUAAAAACAUGUAGGUGUGUGCUUAUGAUAUUUAUUUUUGGGAUGAGCUACAGGUUUUCUAUAUGGUCUUUUAUUUUUAGUAGAGCGAGUAUAACCUAGUCCUGUACGAUCACCAACGUUUCUUGUUUGAUUAAGCAAAGUGUCUAAUUGUUGUUGACUGUUUGUGAGACGUGUGAGUUUUUCUUUAAGUUUAAAAUUGUCUUCUUGCAAAGUCUCGCAAGUCUCACAGACAGGUUUUUGACAUAGAAUAUUUUUAGAGCAGUUACAUGUGCUACAAGAAUAGAUGAGGUCAAAUGUUUAAUUUUCUAAUUUUAAUUCAUCUAAUUCUUUUGUAGUUGGCUUAUUUGUUAGGUAUCAGUGGUUACAAUACACCUAGAAGGGGGGGGGGUUGAAUAGGUGUAGCGGUUAGAAUAGCCGCUUUUCGAAACUCAACACUUAAUGCUGAAUCACCCCUAAUUAAUCGAUUACAGGAUGAAGAUAAUCGAUUAACAGAACAAACUUAAUCGAUUAACACAACAGGGAUAAUCGAUUAACGUAACAGUCUUAAUCGAUUAAAACAGAAACAGUAAGCUUAGACAGAUUCGAUUAAUUGCACAACAGUUAACCGNNNNNNNNNNNNNNNNNNNNNNNNNNNNNNNNNNNNNNNNNNNNNNNNNNNNNNNNNNNNNNNNNNNNNNNNNNNNNNNNNNNNNNNNNNNNNNNNNNNNAUCGAUUAAAGUAUUAGUUAAUCGAUUAACAGCAUUUUUAAAUGUGUAUUUUUAACUACAAAACCUCAAAUACGUUAUGCACUUAGUUCAUACAUGUUUAACACUUAGUUUAUGCCUAAAAUGCACAUAUACAUGUAUUUAUGUAAUGCAUGAACAUAUUAUGAAUGACAUAUCUCAAAGAUGAAAUGAUUUAAAAGUUUUAUGCAUAUGAGACAUGUGUUAGGGUUACCUAAGCCUUAGACUCAACCUAAACUAGUUUCUAGUCUAAGUCUAGUACCAAUCAAAAGACUUGAGCAUGUUGAUUUGUUGAUGAUCUUCAAGCUCUUAUUAGCACAAGUUGUCCUCAUCAAAAACCAUGACAUAUAAUGAGAGAGCUUUCCAAAGUGUUCCUCUUGACAUGCGCACUUUCAACUCACAAUACUCGGUAACAAUCUGGGUGGUUCAUCAUGCUUAUACCAGUAAGAUUGAAUCUAAUACCUAGAAAAGCGGAUGUCCCUUCUAUCUCAAACUUAAUCUCUAAUGCCUGGGUAUAGGGCAUAUGUGUGUGUUUAAUCGAGUGUACUGUGUUGGUGUGUGAGGAAGCGUACAAAACUUUUGUUUAAUAAAAUAGAAUUCCCACCCCCAAACAAUUAAAUUUACCUGUUUAUUAACAACUGGAAAUUGGUUUCUAUAUUGGAGUUACUAGGACAUUAGGGGUAUGUUCUCUCAUAAGCUUAAUUAAACUUGUUAGAUAAUUCUUGAUUAGGUCUUAGAUUCGUGUUACCGACACACCAUGAUAAGAAAGAUGAACGUCCUCAAUUAUUACUUUUUAUUUUAACAAUAUGCAUAUGGAUGCUCUUACUAAAUGUAUAUGUCUAUUUUUUGCUAUUCAAGAUACAUAAUAAGUAAAAAUGCAUUUUUGCUUAUAUUCCAUGAAUAGAAUGGAUGCUCGAUUUAUUUAAAAAUCACUUUUUAGAUUAACUUGCAUUUCAGUCUAGCAAAAAUAUACAUGUUUAUGAAUAACCAAUUAAACAAAGGGCAGUUAAGGUAGGCAUAUAUAAUUGGAAUGCAAACUAAAAUAAAAAAGGGGAUAUGUCUACUAAAUACAUCUACCUGCUUAGAUGCUCGGGGUAUGUAUAGACAUUUUUAUGAUCAGAAUGCUUACCUGAUUGUAUGGUUAUCCUGGUAUUAUGAGUGUAUGUUCUGUGUUGUAUCUUUGAUUUUUGUUAUGCCUCUGAGUAAUCUAGUUUCUCUCAAUGUUAUUAUUAUGCAUGAUAUCGGUGUGCUCUAUGCCUGCUUCUUAUGUAUCAAAUAUGCGUUUUUUAUCUCUUCCUGAGCUCUCUCUGUUUCUGAGUUCUCUUUUUUCAUAACUGCAUAUGAUAGUUUGUUAUCUCCUUUUCUGAUCUCUGUGUAUGUAUAGCAUGUUUUGGUAUUGCAGUCUCUGGUUUUUCUCUGCUCUGUUGCAAUGUAUGUUUCUGGACUCUCUCUUGUAUAUCUGUGUUGAAUAGUCUUGUUGUACUUUUUUGUUUUUGUGACUCUAUAGCCUAUGUGUGCACUGCCUUUUAUAGCUGAGUAUAGGUUAAUACAAAAACCCUUUGAAUUACUAACUGAAAUUUAGUAAUAUGCCCUGACUUUUUGCUCUCUGAUUAUAUACUCUGAAACUUCUCAAUAACGGUCCUCAUUCAUGCUUAUAUGAUUCUUGUAACUGAAAUUAGGAUAACUUAUAAGGUAGAAUUCCUGAUGUAUAUCUCCAUUAUUGCCACUUGUGAAAUUCUAUAUUGAUAACCCACGGUUGGACCACUUUUCUGAUUCCAUUCUGAUUACCUCAUGAUUGCUGCUAUUUAUGUGGCUUGUGUAACUGAAAUGCCAAUAAUGCUAUAUUCUAUCUAGUGAGUGCCAUUUUGCUUCGAACCUUUAUUGCCAUCAUUUGAUAUUUUGCCGAUUGGCAUGAUUGAUUUUCUAUAUUCCUUUUCUCUUAAUGCUAUUCCAUUAAUGUUUCUGAGUGUCACAGUUUAUAGGGAAGAGAAUCUGAUUGAAUGGUGCAGGGUCCAUGAUACUGAUUUUAUGAAUGUGGGUCUGAAUGUAAUAGUGCAGUAUGAGAAGCACUUUGUAAUGUGAGGUCAUUUCUUAGGACUUUGGGAUGAUUGCAUUGACAAAUAUCAUGUGUUUAAUGCCAUCUACUUCGUAUCUUAAUGGUUAGAAAAAUAAUUCAGAAUACCCUCAUUAGCACGUGGCUACCUUUUAUUCUUCUAUUGCAGAUAUUAUAACUCAUUGGCUUUUUAUAUUCCCCUUUUAUGUUACUUGAUUUUGUUUUUUAGAGCCAUAAUGAGAUGUUGAACCUUAUUGGUUAAAAGCUUAAAACUGUUACUUGCCAAAAUGUAUGAUAUGAGAAGUUGUU
rnacentral:lncRNA from 1 species